rnacentral:lncRNA from 1 species
AAAGAGCAAAAGAAGAAGAAGUUGUGAUGGCUUCCUCUAUGCUCUCCUCUGCCGCUGUGGUUACCUCCCCAGCUCAAGCCACCAUGGUCGCUCCAUUCACCGGCUUGAAGUCAUCCGCUACUUUCCCCGUCACCCGCAAGGCCAACAACGACAUUACUUCUAUCUCAAGCAACGGCGGAAGAGUUAGCUGCAUGAAGGUAAUGUCCUAUAAAAACUGUAUUUUGUCAUGUGUAAUUAGUGAAAUUGAACAAAACUUAGAAUAAUUGGAAUUGGGAGUUAUAGGUGUGGCCACCAAUUGGAAAGAAGAAGUUUGAGACUCUAUCUUACCUCCCUGACCUUACUGACGUCGAAUUGGCUAAGGAAGUUGACUACCUUCUCCGCAACAAGUGGAUUCCUUGUGUUGAAUUCGAGUUAGAGGUAAUAAACACUGGACCUUUCGUUUGUCUCUAAUCAUUAUAUAUUAUUUUCUUACAUAGCUAAAAACCAAAGUCAAUAAGCUUAUUUUCGUUUGUCUCUAAUCAUUGUUCAUUGAAUGGAUUUCGUAUUCAUUUAUAGCAUGGAUUUGUGUACCGUGAGCAUGGAAACACACCUGGAUACUACGAUGGACGGUACUGGACAAUGUGGAAGCUUCCAUUGUUCGGAUGCACCGACUCCGCUCAAGUGUUGAAGGAAGUGCAAGAGUGCAAGAAGGAGUACCCUAACGCCUUCAUUAGGAUCAUCGGAUUUGACAACAACCGUCAAGUCCAGUGCAUCAGUUUCAUUGCCUACAAGCCCCCAAGCUUCACUGAUUCUUAAUUAAAUCCUUUCUGGAAUAUUCAAUGUUGACUAUCCGGAACAAUUUUGUAUGGUCAAUGUAAAUUUAAGUAACUAUUAUCUAGCCAACUUAAACGUUGAGCAAUUGUUUUGCGAAAAGUGAAAAAGUUGAAGGUUUAUUUUCUAUCAUUUCCUCUAUAAUUAUAUCUAUUCAUAUCAUUUCAUUUUUGAUCUUAUCACUUUGAACUCUUUCAUCUUCGAUUUAGCUCUUUUAAGCAACAUUUUAUUUCCUUUACAUUUCCCUCCUAAUUUUUGCUUUUGAUUCUCUAGACUAACCUAUAAUAGAAGAGAGACCUUUUUAGAUACCUUUUUGGAAAAACUUUGCACAUGAAAUCAUAACAAAGAUGCCUCAAUAAAUCAAAUCUCGAAAGGGCCAGUACCUUGUGACUUAGAUGGAUGGGCUAGGACGAUCUCGCUUUCGAAAAAAAGAUUUAUUUGAUUUUGCUGUGGGUGGAGCAAUGUUGACUACCUCCGCACUAUUUUCUUGAACGGUUUUGGCUAUUUUGUACCUUGUACGCGCUUCUGCUCACGGGAAAUUUGUGAGCUUUAAGUUGGUAUUGUGGAUCCAUGACCAUAGCUUCUUCCUGUGGCCUUAGGGAGAGUUCUUGCCUCGGUUCCACACCGUCCAUUGAAGUGUGCUAUGAAAAUUCCCCACAAUCUGUCAUGUCUUCCAUGCUUAAGUUGACAUGGUGGAAAUCAUCUUGAGGUGCCACAUUUUAAGUGGGCCGUACGUGCAAUGGUGUGGUGCUCCGAAAGGAACGGUAGCAUGGGUUCCUAUAGCAUUGGAUCGUUUUCUAAACAAUAUGCAUUAUGUGUUUAUAAAUUUUAGUAAUUGUACAUACAUGUCCCAGUUUAAAAACAGAUUAACAUACAUUAUAAUUUUAAGGGCUGCCUAUAGCGUUACACCUAUACUAUAGCGUUUCAACUCCUAUCCACCUGUACUUUCGACCUCUGCCCAAUUCACCUUAUACUUGUUUUAAACUUCCUAAUUCCACCUAAACUAUUAAAUUCUCCAUAAUUAACCAAAAUCAAGAACUCUCUAUAAUUGCGAUUAAAAAUCGUUCAAAUCGCGUUUACUGUAGGCCAACCCGAGUCAGAUCCGACCAGCUUCGAAGACUUCUUUCACCAUAAGGGUUUGACUCGUGUUCAUUUGUUUUGUCGGGUCAACCUCGGAUUAAUAUAAACACAUAUUUUUUUACUGCAAUUUGAACUAUUUUUAAUCGUAAUUAUAGAGAGUUGGGCAGAUGUCGAAAGUACAUGUGGAUAGGAGUUGAAACGAUAUAUAUAGUAUAGUUGUAACGCUAUAGGCAGCCCUAAUUUUAAUAAGAAUGAUAUAAACUCAACUAAACUUCCUCUUCUUAGUUUGAAACUUUGCAUGACCAUUAACUCUCUUAUACUGCAUAAGACAUAAUUAGUGACAUAUUUUUUUCUUUCUAUUAUCAAUAUUUUCGUUAGCAUGUACUCGUUGUAAGAUGAAUAGAGAAAUAAUUGAAUUAUGAAAUAACGAAAUCAAUGUAUAUAUAUAUAAAACAAAAACAAUUUUACGCUGAACAAUUUUUUUUUAAAAAAAGGCAAAAAAAUUGCUUGUUUCAUAUUAUAGGAUGUUUUGGACCUUUUUUUUUGUUUCACAAUAUAUAAUGCUUUGAAGAAAAAAUACAAGUUUCUAUGUAAAACAUUAAAUUUAAUAGAUUAUUGACUAUUUACAUUAUGCAGUAAAUUAUAUCACUGAUUAAAUUAUUUUUAAUAGAUAUUAAUUUUUGUUUUAAUGUUAAAAACUCAAGAUUAGUUAAUUUCUUAAACUUUGUGCUUUCAUCUUUUUUUUUAUCUUUUUUUUUUGUCAUCCGAAAUUAAUUAUACCUCAAAAGAGAGAGUAUUAUUUGAAACAAAGAGAGUAUUAUUUAGCAGAUAAAUGACUUUUAUCUGAUUUAAUUAUAAUUUUAAAAUGUGCGGGAUGAAUUAAAAGAUCAUUUAUCAUUUUUCACGUUUUGUUUUUUUCCAGUUAGGUUUUUGUGAAUGGUUUUUACUCAGCGUAAUCAUGUUUUAAGAACAAGAACGUGAGAAAGUUAACAAAAUACCGUUGCAAGACUUUAUUUUUGUUUUACACAAAAUGUAGUUUUAUAUUUUCAAAGUAGUUUUUUUUAAUAGAAUUUACUUAUAUUCUUUUUAGUUAAGAUAAUCAAAUGGGAAAAUAAAAAUAUUAAUGUGUUAAUACAAGAUAAUAGAAAUUUAAUCAUUUUAAUAUAUAUGUAAAAAGUAUUCAACCGAUAUUUACAAUUAGACAGAACUAAGAAGUAUUAAAUUUCUCACCUCACCUCCCAAAAGAAAGGAGCCAAAAGCAACCGAUCAAGUGGAGACCAGUACUAGCCAUACACAUUCACUCGUUCCCUUACAAGAGAAAGAUAAGAUUAUGGAGUUUUCUGCCACUUGGUCUUAUCCUAGUGGUCCGAAUUGAUAAGGGUUUCAACACCUUUCCUUAAUCCUGUGGCAAUUAACGACGUUAUCAUGAAUUAUGGCCACUUUGAUCAUUAGGGCUUUUUGCCUUGCAGUUCUCACUAUAUAAAGAUGACCAAAUCAAUCGACAAACAAGUAAAAGAAACAACAAGAAGUAGUGAUGGCUUCAUCUAUGCUCUCCUCUGCCGCUAUGGUUACCUCCCCAGCUCAAGCCACCAUGGUCGCUCCAUUCACCGGCUUGAAGUCAUCCGCUGCUUUCCCGGUCACCCGCAAGGCCAACAACGACAUUACUUCUAUCUCAAGCAACGGCGGAAGAGUUAGCUGCAUGAAGGUAAUGUCCUAUAAAAACUGUAUUUUGUCAUGUGUAAUUAGUGAAAUUGAACAAAACUUAGAAUAAUUGGAAUUGGGAGUUAUAGGUGUGGCCACCAAUUGGAAAGAAGAAGUUUGAGACUCUAUCUUACCUCCCUGACCUUACUGACGUCGAAUUGGCUAAGGAAGUUGACUACCUUCUCCGCAACAAGUGGAUUCCUUGUGUUGAAUUCGAGUUAGAGGUACUAAACACCGAACUUUUCCUUUGUCUCUAAUCAUCCUUUAUUAUUUCUGUUCAUUGGUAGAAACAUAAGUCAAUAACCGGAUUUUAAAACCCGAAAUAGACUAUAACCGUGUGACUCCUCGACUAUCAAUGGUAUUGAAUGGUUUUGUCAUCUGUUUAUAGCACGGAUUUGUGUACCGUGAGCACGGAAACACUCCCGGAUACUACGAUGGACGGUACUGGACAAUGUGGAAGCUUCCAUUGUUCGGAUGCACCGAUUCUGCUCAAGUGUUGAAGGAAGUGCAAGAAUGCAAGAAGGAGUACCCUAAUGCCUUCAUUAGGAUCAUCGGAUUCGACAACAACCGUCAAGUCCAAUGCAUCAGUUUCAUUGCCUACAAGCCCCCAAGCUUCACCGAUGCUUAAUUCCCUUUCUGGAAUGUUCAACGUUGACUAGUAUUUCGGAAUCCAAUUCUAUGUGGUCAAUGCAAAUUUAAGAAAUUAAUUAGCCGACUUAAAAGUUGAGGAAUUAUUGUGUGAAAGUGAAAAAUUUGAAGGUUUUUUCUAUCAAUUUCCUUAUAAUUAUAUUUACUCAUUUGAUUUCAUUUUUUUUCUUCUAGCUCUUUGAGCUCUAUUUUUCGUUUAGCUCCUUUUGACAACAUUCCGGUUCAUUUAAAUUCUCCUCAUUAUUCUUGCUUUUGAGAAAUUGGCUACAUUGUUUCGAGAAAUUUUGCACAUGAAAGCAUAACAAAGAUGCCUCAAUUUAUCAAACCUCGAUGAUUUAGAACAAAAGAUUAUUUAAGGGGGUGUAACCUUUUAAGAUGAAAUAGCCAUUGGAGAUAGCAAAAGGUAGUAAAAGACGUAUACACUAUAAACAAAAUCCAAAUGUAUGCUUUUAAAAUUAUAAACAUGUAUUCCAAACGCCUAAGUGGAAUAUUCAGUUUAAUUCAAGUCCAAGAAAUGGCAUUAUAUAAAGCAAGGAUCGACAAAGACUGAAAUUUGUCUAGCAUGAAGUUACUAAAUUUUGGAAAUUGUGUUCACGUUAAAAGCUGAAACUUAACAGUUAUUUAUAAGGAAAAGCAGUUAAUGUUCCCAAAAAGUUCUAAAUGAAACUAGAAACCAAAUGAUAAAGAAAACGUAGCAUCUACAUGUUUGGUUUUAGUUUUUUUUUUUUUGACAAAAAUAUUCAAAUGUUUUUAGAUUCUUCUAUGCAAACGAUAUAUAGAAAAUAUAUACAUGAUUCAAAUAUAAUACAAAUAAAAAUAAUUAUUGAAAUUACCGAACAUUUUUUUGCAUCUCCCUGAUUUACUUCCCACAUUUUCGUUUCAAAUAAAAUUCAAGAAAAAGAAAGACGACGAAAAAAAAUGACUUAAAAAGACAAGGGACAGAAGCUGGUAACUUAGAUGGAUGGGUUAGGACUAUCUCACUUUCGAAAAAUGUUUAUUUGGUUGAGGUGCGGAGUGGAGUGGAGCUUGUGAUUCUUUGCCCUAUAUGAGAGUUUUUUCGUGACCAAUUAUGGUGAUUGUGUACUUUGUAUACAUGUUUCUUCUCAUAUGGUUGAAAUGGGGGCAUUUGUGAGCUUUAAGGUGGCAGUCUUGAUCCACGACCAUAGCUUUACAUGACUUUAAGGUGAGUUCUUGCCUUGGUUCUACACCGUUGAUUGAAAUGAAUUAUGAAAAUUCCUCAUGAUCCGCCAUUUUUACAUGCUAAGUUUUUUUUUUUUGAAAAAUGCAUGCUUAAGUUGAAACGGUGGUUAUCAACUUGAGGUGCCAUAUUUGUGAUUAAGUGGGCCGUAAGUGCAACGGCGUGGUACUCAAAGAGGAACGGUGGGGUGGGUUUCACAUCGUGAUUGUGAUGUGAGUAUGUAUGUGACCAGAGUCCAGGGCCGGCUCAAAAUUAUUCGAGACCUUGUGCUGAUGUAUAAAAAUUGGUUUUUAAAUAAUAUAGUGAAAAUUUUGGACCCUCAAUCUUAGAGGAAAUUGAAAUUUUUUUUUGAGGACCCUGUGCUUUUGCUCCUCUAGCACACCCUUAGAGCUGGCACUGCCAGAGUCACAAGAUAAUCGUGAGCUGGUCUUACUUGUUGAUCGAGAGGCAGCAUUAACUCAUAUAGAAGAAACCAUGGACCUCCGACCUUGGGAGGUUUUCUUGGAAAUUCUUCCAUGAUGGAAGCUUACCGCAUGAGCAUGAUACAGGUAGAUGCAUGAUGGUUUCGGUUGUUUGCUCGAUCGCUUUCUACCACAAACAUAUCUUGCAUCUAAUUGUUGUUGCCUUGUUGGUUCUCAAAUAUUUACUCUCGAAACAGUAAGAUGUUGUUAGCCAUACGUAAAUCAGAAAUAAAAGUAUAGUUGGCUAAAACUGCAGUGAGUAUAGAAUUAACCGAUAUCAAUUUAUUCAAAUUUCCGUCUCUCUUUUCUUUUGUUGGCUAAUAUAUUAUCAUUUGAAGAUAAUAUAUAGUUUUUCCAAGAAAAGAAUAUUGACAAUUUUUUUGUGGUAAGUGAUUUUAAGAAUGACUCCAGAAUCGACAGGUUACCCAGACAAUAUUUAUCAUGGAUAAACCUAUCGAAAAAUCUUAAAAAUCAGUAUUAAUAAAACGGAAGUAGUAAUGAACUUCUAAGCUAUGCAUUACAAUACAUUUAUCUCAAUGUCGAAUUUAAAUAAUUUUCUUAGAACUCCUUUUUUAAUGCGACCUUAUUCACCAAAUCAAGUGAAGCCAAAUUAAAUCAUGCAUGGUAAAUAAAAUAUCCAAAAGCAUUAAAUUUAAGGUAAUGCGUCUGAUUUCUUUCCUCCCAAACGAAAGGAGCCAAAAGCAACCGAUCAAGUGGAAACCAAUAACCACACAUUCACUUCGUUUCCCCCACAAGAGAAGAUAAGAUAAUGGAGUUUUCUGCCACGUGGCAUUAUCCUAGUGGUCCGUACCGAUAAGGGUGUCAACACCUUUCCUUAAUCCUGUGGCAGUAAACGACGUUAUCAUGAAUUAUGGACCCUUUGAUCAUGAGGGGCUUUUUUCCUGUUGCGGUUCUCACUAUAUAAAGAUGACAAAACCAGUAGACAAACAAGUAAGUAAGAGAAAAGAGCAAAAGAAGAAGAGAAACAACAAGAAGUAGUAAUGGCUUCCUCUAUGCUCUCCUCGGCCGCUGUGGUUACCUCCCCGGCUCAAGCCACCAUGGUCGCUCCAUUCUCCGGCUUGAAGUCAUCCGCUGCUUUCCCGGUCACCCGCAAGGCCAACAACGACAUUACUUCCAUCGCAAGCAACGGGGGAAGAGUUAGCUGCAUGAAGGUAAAGUAAAGUCAUUAAUGAAAGAUGUCUUUUGUCAUGGCAAUUAGUGUAAUUGAACAAAACAUAGAAUAAUUGGAAUUGGAUUCGGGAAUUAUAGGUAUGGCCACCAAUCGGAAAGAAGAAGUUUGAGACUUUAUCUUACCUCCCUGACCUUACUGACGUCGAAUUGGCUAAGGAAGUUGACUACCUUCUCCGCAACAAGUGGAUUCCUUGUGUUGAAUUCGAGUUAGAGGUAAUAAACACUGAACCUUUCCUUUGUCUCUAAUCAUUAUAUAUUAUUUUCUUACAUAGCUAAAAACCAAAGUCAAUAAGCUUAUUUUCUACACCAAAGUUGAGGCUAUCAUUGUCCAUCGAAUGGUUUUCUUAUGUGUUUAUAGCACGGAUUUGUGUACCGUGAACACGGAAACACUCCCGGAUACUACGAUGGACGGUACUGGACAAUGUGGAAGCUUCCAUUGUUCGGAUGCACCGACUCCGCUCAAGUGUUGAAGGAAGUGCAAGAAUGCAAGAAGGAGUACCCUAAUGCCUUCAUUAGGAUCAUCGGAUUCGACAACAACCGUCAAGUCCAAUGCAUCAGUUUCAUCGCCUACAAGCCCCCAAGCUUCACCGAUGCUUAAUUCCCUUUCUAAAACAUUCAUAUAAAUUAUCUCUGCUUAUUUCAUUCCUAUUGUCUGUGUUGUUUUCUCUUUAUGAGACAUUUUAUAUCGGAUUGUCAAAUGUCUGAUUUAUGAAUAUGUAUUUUAUAUAUUCUUGCGUCUUGAUUUUUCCGAUGCUUAAUUAGGUUUAGAAUUUUUAUUGCGAUAAGAAAAUAUACAAAAAAAUCGUUAAGAAGAAAAAAAUGCGUUAGUGGUAAUAUACUACUAGAAUAAUAAACAAUUUUCACCUACAAUAUAAACCUUAGAUCUCCUAUGGAUCAUGUUUACAAUUUAUAUUAAGUUUGUCAAAAAUUCAAAUAAGAUUCAAUGUUGCGGAUAAUUUCAUACGAUAGUUUUCAUUUGAUUUUUUACAGAUUUCAUAUGUGGAGUUUAUGAGACACUAUAUACAUGUACAAUUAGUAUUCUAGGUAAUUUAUCAGUAGAAUAUAAGAAAUUGUUUAAAAAUAGAUACUAUUAGAUAAAAAUAACAUAUGGAUUUAUAUUCUCGUUUGUCCAUUGUUUUUAGAAGAAAAACGUUAUAAGAAAUAAUAUUAGAGUAAAUAUCCUUUAUAAGGACUGUGAAGUGUGUAACAUGUGUUUGUAGAUAUCAGUCACACAAAGGUAAUAGUAAUACCUUAAAGGAAAGGAUGGUCCACUUGAAAGGAUGAUAGACACGUUUGUGGACGGUGCCAGUGCCAUAUACAUAAAGAUAGGCGCUUGUGGAUAAUUAAGAGUCCAUUUUUAAAUUUAUGAUUAAGACCCUUUUCUUAAUGAUCUCACCUAUCAUUUUGAAACUUGUGUGUUCAUUGACUUUAUGAAACUACAAGAACUCAUCUAAUUUGUAACGGAAAGUUCUUUGAAGUUUUUUUUUUUUUAAUAAUUUGUGUAGACUUAUUUGGUUGCUAACUAGAAUGUAUAUAAAUUAGGCAUUAUCUCCUAAAAUUGAUUCUAAAAAGGUUAAUCCAGUGUAGGUAGUCUAUUUGUUGGCUAAAUUUUCUUGAAAAUCACUUUAUGUCUCAUCUUAUUUUAGUAGAUCUUCGACAAUAUUGGUUCUUCUAAUCCAUCACGAACUGAGUUCCACUUAUUGGAUCAACAACAAACCCUACCUAGAACAUAUUAUUGAGCAAAUUAAAAGUUAGACUUUCUCACCAUCUUAUUGAAUAGAAAUCCAACUCAAAAACCAUUUGACAAUAACUAUAAUGCGUUGGAUAAUACCCCUUAUAUUGAAAUCUCACGUUCCUAACAAGCCCCCGUAAUGCAUAUCGAAGGGAUACCAUGAACCGAUUUGUUGAACAUCUCAUCGAUUCGAAGGUGAUGGGAGAACUCCAACGAUGUCAUCCUUGACCCUAUUGAUCGCAUAUGAGCUGAUAAUAUGUAAAGAUCAAACUUUCAAAUCUAUGAGAAUGCUCCAGCAAUUAUUCCCUUAUAUGGUACCAAAACGGCUUGUUUCUUAUUUAGCGCAAUGCCUAGUUUUGUUUCCUUUCGACUAAUUCCCAUACUAUGUAUAUCUAUUUCUAAGUCUAAGUGUUCUAUAUAAACAUUUGAAUCUUAGUUGUUUCAAGUCUUUCAACAUAUUAUUCGAAAUUUUGAGAAGUUUCUAUAUAUAAACAUAAACGAAACUGAACCCUUUAAAGAUAUAUUAUUGUCUCGGUCGAUAUACACUGAUUUCUUAAUAUCUUCGUCGAUCUUAAGAAAUCCUAUCAAAGUAUCAACUAUUAUCUAUGUAUAGUUUCACCAACCCAAAAUAUAUGUAACAAAUUAAAACCCUUAAUCUUUAGUUAAACCAACUCUCACCGCUCAUGACCGCGUCAUAACGCUGCCACCAUUCCCACCCAAACGCAAACGCAAACCACGUCCAUUCCUCUUCAUAUGUUAACUUAUACGGCCACUCCUCAACACAUUUUGUAGAGAGCAUUUCCAUCUUUUCCUUGAUAUUCUCCACCGCGCCUUUCUCUUUCUCCUCCUUUUCCUUUUCUACAACACUAGCAAUAACAUUACUUUGAUCAUUUUGCAUCUCAUCCUUCUUUCUCAUCAACUUCAUGAUCAUCAUCGAUUUUUUAUGUUUAGGCAGAGAUUUCAUGCUCUCUUUGUGAACGUUCAUUCGAGCUUUCGCGGUCAUUCUCGCGUGUUUAGAUUGAUCUCUUCGAGUUUCCUCUCCUUUUCUCGAUCUAUUUCCCUCUUUACCUUCAUACACCGAGCUUACACGAGCUCUCUUCAUAGAAUCCACGUGCAUUCACCCAUUUUUAACAAUAACAUUAAUAGUGUUUUAUAACUCGGAAUAAUAGGAUAAGACUUUAUAUAUAUAUCCCAUUUAUAAAACGCGUAUUGUUGUUAUGGGUUCACCAUACACGUAUGAGUCUCCAACAGCUUUGAAUUUCUUUUUUUUUUGGGUCAAAAGAGCUCCAAAAACUAUAAUGGUAAGAGCAACGAAUCAAACACACAAAAAAAGAAGAAGCAAUCAAUAAGAGCAAGGAAUCGAACACAAUUUUGAAAAGAACAAGAUUCGAAAUACACAAAAAUAGGGAAAGAUUAACGUGAAGUCUUGGUUAUAUAAUGAAAGCUGUCAACGGUAAAUCCAUCAUUAAUUAAUGGUGCUCGAGCGUUUCGUUUCUGUAAUGUAAUGUAAAUUGUGUGUGCUUUUCAUUUGGGUACGUGGACAUGCAUCCGUUACGUAACACUUUCGUUUGACUUCUCUUCAAGGUUCUUCAUACUUCAAAGGAAGUUCUGAAAAUUUCCUGUUGGGGUGUGAACAGAACCUAAAUUUAUCGAUUCGAAUUAAAAUAAUCAAUUUUGAAUAAUAUACUCCCUCCGUUUCAUAAAGAGUCUCGUUUUAAGGUUUUAUUUUUGUUUCACAAAGAGUGUCGUUUUAGGUUAAUGCAAAAUUUAAUGAUUUUUUAUGUUUUAUGACUAUUAGUAUUCUGCAGAUUGUUUUACUAUUGGGCAGAUUAUGUUUAGGUAUAUAGUUAAUGAUGUUUUUGUUUAGAAAAAACAAAAAAUUUAAUGUUUUCUUAAUCUGUGUGCAAAACUCUAAAAUGACACUCUUUGUGAAACAGAGGGAGUAAUUUGGUUGAAUAAUCGGUAAAAACAUUAAAAGUCUAGAUUCCAUUUUCUUGAAUGAUAUAAAAUAUUUUUUGGGAAAAGAAAAAAAAAACCAUUGUAGGUAGCUACAAACAUUCAAGGUCUUAAGCUAAUUACUUGUGAAACUGAAUUACUAUUAUCUCCAUGAGUUAUCGUAUCGUGCUUUACUUGGGAAAUGUUUACUACAUAUAUGAAAAUAGAAACAAAAGAAAGUCUUUUAUGUUCGAUGUUGUAUUGCAUUCAUUGGUCUUACACUAGGACACAACACUACGUAUUAUGAUCAUAGGGACAAUGUUUAACAUCAGUUUAUGGCCUGAGCUAAAUAACGCGUAAAGUCUUUUCGGCUUAUAAGCAUAUAUAUGCUUUAGUUUAUGUUCGUCAGAGGCUUCAUCGUGCAGUCUACUUCUUAUGCAUGGUAACCACUAACCAGGAGCUGGACAUUGCUACUCGAUGAUUUGUUGUAGAGUUUUAUCUUCUCCGCGAUAACUUCAGACACUUCGCGCUGUGUAGGACCCUUCUCCGUAAUAUAGAUCUUUAGCUCCUUUAAACACGGAAAAUAGUCCAAGAAAUGCUUUAUCAUGUGCAUUUCUUUCAUUGUUCCUUGAGACUCUUUAAUCUCUAACACUUUUACUGGACAAGAUGUGAGUGAACGACCUUUUUCUUCUCGGGUAACGCAGUCACAUGCAUCCCCGCAUUUAUCUGUAACAUGGUGCAAGAGACCCUGGAACCAUAAAGGAGACAAUAAGGGACCCAAAUUAUGAAUUCUAUCUUUGUACAUUUUUGGAAAAUGAGUUGUUUUAUACCUCAAGGACUAGAGUUUCAAGAUAUGGACAGUUCCUUAGAAGAACUGGCAUUGCUUGCCAUCCUCGCCUCUCGUCACUCUUUAUAGUUAAAGAUUUGAGGUUAUGGAACACUGGCAUCGAUUCACAGCAAUGAGAAAGCACCUGAUAACAAUACAAGCCGCACAAUUAAAUUUUUUGCUUAUUUUGUUAAACAUGGGACCGAACAAACAAGACUGCGAUGAUUGAGACAAAGUGCUGGUUCUAUUUCUUUUAUUUCAUUGAGACCAAGUGAAUAAAAAAUAUCACAAUUGAGAAAAGGAAGAAAACUAACCUCAAGAGUAUUAGGAGACAAAUAGAGAUACCGUACAUUUCGAAUGCCAUUCAUAAGCUUCCCCACAUUUGCAAAUCGGAGAACAACAUUGUACUCAUCAUCCUCUAACAAAUCAUUGUUUGGCGCUCUUGCUCGGCUGAUAUCUUCUUCAAUUACACAAAGGCUGAUUCGAGCCUCAAACAAGUUUCCCAUUUUAGCUAGAGGGUAAUCUCCCACGACAUAAUCAGAGUAACAUAUGUAAACAAGACUAGGUGUAUCGAAUGACAAAGUAUCUAAACAACCGCUGGGAUUUAUCGUUAUGGUCUUGAGGCUUGCACUUGACACAGUCAAAUCGGCAACAUCGCAAUAUUUCCAGUGUAUUCUAUCCAGGACUAAUUCCUCAAGCGCAGGCAAAGCAUGAAGAAGAAUCUCAAACAUAUCAACAGAUAACGAAACUAAUUCAAGAACGAGAGUGUUAAGCAUCGGUAAGAAAAUGGUCCCAUCCAACCAACAAAUAUCAAAUCCAAAUCUUAAUUCGAGCUUAACUAGUUUCUUGUUCUCAAAAACUUUUGGAAAAAGAUUAUAGUUAUCUCCUGAUUCCGGAUCCAAAAGGAUUGAUAGAUUAAUCUCCGAAACACCACGCACCAUCACAUUCUGUAUCCAAUUAUCCACUCGAUCCGAGUCAACACCGGAACAACCGAGGGAGAAUUUCUUAAUGGGAGAGUUACCCUGCAAUGCCAGUACUCUAUCAACAAAAUCCAUGAAGAGCUGUCGAAUAUCAUCUCUUUCCUCUUUACGCUCUUCGGGAUACAAAAAAACAGAGUCCUCAAUAUCAAGAUUAGGGACAAAUGCAAUCAUAUUACGCCACCGCUUUGAGAGAACGGAAGUCAAAGCAGCAUCUUUUGUGGGAAGGAAGGACAAUACAUGACAAAGAACAUCGUCAGGCAAAUUGCUUAAGAGAUCCAUCUUCUCAGCACGAAGGAAGACAGUGUAUAACCAAACAGUUUCACUACAAACAAACAAAGAUAUUUUCUUUAAAGUGGUAAAGCAAUUGGUUUGAACAAGAAAUUUAACAGCGCAAUUAGGGAUCUACCCAAAAGGAAACGUGUGAACUAAGAAACCCAAAAACAGAUUUAAUAAACUUCGAAACCUACCUUGUUACAAAAGCUUAAUCCAAGACCCAAUUUUUUUGGGAUUUUAGUCAGAAGAGAAGAGUUGGGAGUUUCUAAAUCACUUGCUCUCAGGUUCGACAAGACAUGCAAAGGCAUCCGAUAAACCUAAACAUCCAAACAAAUCUCACAAAUAUUAAUUACUUUAAUAUCCAUACAAGCAAACACAAUAUUUUAGAAUUUACUACAAUUUUUUUUUGUUAAUUACUUAUUUUAAAUAGAAUUAUAUACACCUAUAUGGAAACAAAAUCUUCUCAAAAUCUUCUCAAAAUUUCUUUUGAUUAUUCUGAUAAAUAGUAGUAUAUUUUUCUAAAACGUGAAUUUAGUAGUAAUUAAUAUUAACUAAUUUAUAGUUUACAAAAUUUAAGAAAAUUUUGAAAGAGAGAAAUUAAAAAAAAAUGUUUUUAAAGUCUAAAUAUAUAAGUAAUAGAGAUAAAUACUCUAAAAUCAAUUAUAUUAUUUUUAUAAAUUAAAUUAACUAUUUGCAAAAAUAAUAUUUCUCUAGAAUAAAUUCAAAAUAUUUUUAUAUAAUUGAAUUAAAAAUAUUUAUAAGUAAUCACAUUAUAUUUUAUUUCAUCAUAAAUUAUUUUGAGUGGGAUUAUGUAUACAUAGUUUGAUGUAUUCAAAAUAUAUUUGCGUAAAAUUUAAUUUAUUUAAAAUAAUUGGAAAUACUAAACGCAUCAAAUGUGCUACUAUGUAAUUUGGCUGCUGGAAAGUCUGUAAUUUGAAAAAAAAAAAAAAGAGAGAUAGUAUUUAUAAAUUAAAAGGAGUAUAAUUUAGCUUUUGAACAAAACUAUGAGGAAGUUUUCUUCCUUGAAGACUCAUCAGUGGGCACUAGCUAGUACACCUUUUUUACAUCACAACUAUAAUACUAUGCUCGACAAAGCUUGACUCACACUACAAAGCUGGAAUCUAUCUUCAAGAUAUGAAAGUUUGUUUUCGUAUUUGAAACCAGGAGAUGCCGAAGCAUUGAAACGGUUUCAUUUUCAAAGAGCAAAAUUUAGACAAGCCAUAUAUAGCAAACUUCGUUUGGUUUCUGAACAUGUUAAGUUUUGCGAUAGUAAGCCUAACUUAGGCUUCUGUUGUACCUUUUGUCAUUUGGCUUCAACGAAUAAUAACUUAAAGAAAAUUGAUGGCGAUCAAUUUAGACAAGCCAUAUAUAGCAAACAUUCGAAAAAGAAGAAGACAAAAAUAAACUACAGUUUCCCGAUUGGUUUAGUUUGAAACAGUUUCAAGGAGACUUUGGCAUAACUAUGAGCAGCUUUUGUUCUUUAGAGACUCCAUUGUGCAGUCCACUUCUUAUACAAGUAACCACCUAAUGGAUGAGGAGAGACAAUAACUUGUGAGUCCGAGAAAGCAUUGAUAGAUAGGUGUAGCCGGAUCUACGUUGCUAAGGCUGAUGGAAUGCUUCUCAUCGAUUAAAUCAAAACUUGAAUGAGACGUUGAUGAAAAAAGUUAAUAAUUCGAUUUUCUAAAAAAAGUUCGUUUCCACCUUAGUAAGCUCUAAAUUAGGCUUAUUUUGUACCUUACUACCUUUGUAACAUUUGCCACUUCAACUAAAUACGCCAACAAUACCAUCAAGAGAAAAUUGCUAACGAGUAAAAAUAAACAAGACAUGCGAUCAAAGUAAAUGACUCAAAAAUAUGAGAAAGAAGAAGAAAAACACUAUGACCAACUUUGUUCUUCGAAUACUUCAUUGUGCACUCCACUCCUUAUACAAAUAACCACUUACCAAGAGCCGCACAUUGCAAUUCGAUAACUUGUUGUAGAGUUUCAUCCUCUUCGCGAUAACUUCCGUCACUUCAGGUGCAUUCUCUUCAAUAUAGAUGUUUAUCUCCUUCAAACACGGAAAAUAGUCCAAGAAAUGCUUUAUCAUGUUCAUUUCUUUCAUUGUUCCUUGAAACCCUCUAAUCUCUAAAUUUUUUACUGGACAAGAUGUGAGUGAACGUUCCUCUCGAGAAACGCAGUCACAAGCAUCCCCGCAUUUAUUUGUGACAUGGUGAAAGAGACCCUGAAAGCAUAAUGGAAACAAUAAGAGAUUCAAUUCAAAGUAUGAACUCUAUCUUCGUUCAUGUUUUGGCAAAUGAGUUUUUUUUUUUUUUUUUAUAUACCUCAAGGACUAGAGUUUCUAAAUGUGGACAGUUCCUUAGAAGAACUGGCAUUGCUUGCCAUCCUCGACUCUCCUCACUCUUAAUAGUUAACGAUUUGAGGUUGUUAAACACUGGUAAAGAUUCACAGCAUAGAGAAAGCACCUAAAUACAAGCCAAGCCAAAAUUGGCAUUAUUCCAUUAAAUGUUUCAAGACAAGACCUUCACUUCUUCGUUAAAUGGGGCCAAAGAAACAUGACCUUCAUGCUCCAUGAGUUGACCCGAAGAAGAUAUUACAAGAAAGAAAAGAAGAAAACUGACCUCGAGAGUAUUAGCAGACAAGUCUAGACACUGAACAUUUUGUAUGCCUUUCAUGAGCUUCCCCACAUUUGCAAAUUGGAGAACAACAUUGUCCUCACCAUUAGCUAACCAAUCAUCGUUUGGCGCUCUUGCUCGCUCGAUUUGAUCUUCCGUAACCAAAAGGCUGAUUCUAGCCUCUAAUAAGUUCCCCAUUUUAACUACGGGGUAGUCUUUAGCAGCAUAAUCAGAGUAAUAGAAGUAAACAAGACUAGGUGUAUCAAAUGAAAUAGUGCUUGAAUAAUGGUUGGAAUUUAAAGUUAGGGUCUUGAGGCUUGCAUUUGACACGGUGACAUCCGUAACGCUCCAGAACCAGAAUACAUCAACCAUGACUAAUUCCUCGAGCGCAGGCAAAGCUCUAAGAAAUAACUCAUCAACAUAAAACCCAACUGACUCAAGUUCAAGAGCUUUAAGCAUUGGUAAGAAUAUUCCACUAGCCAACCAACAAAUCUGGAUAUCCAGUUGGCCAAUACAAAGUCUGUGUAAUUUCAGCUUAACUAGAUUAAUGCUCUCGAAACGUUUUGAAGACAACAGAAUGUAUUCACCCAUACACAAAUCGAUUGACAGAUCAAGUUCAGAAACACCACGCGUCAACACAUUACUUAUCCAACCAUCAACGCAGUCUGAAUCAAGCUUAGUUUGACACUUGAGAGAGACUUUCAUAAUGGGAGAAUCACCUUGCAAUGCAAAUAUUCUAUCCACAAAUUCAACGAAGCUCUGUCGAAUUUUGUACCUGUCCCGCUUACCCUCUUCGGGAUGCAGAAAGAUAGAGUCAUCAAUAUGAAGAUUAGAGACAAAUACAAGCAGAUUGCGCCAUCUCUUAGAGAGAACCGAUGUCAAACUAACCUCCUUGGUGGUAACGAAGGGGAACAAAUUCUCAGGGGCUCCUCAAGCUCCAAAUUUUGUCUCAAAUACUCCUCAAUGGUAGAAAGACAAAAUUACCCUUAAUGAGGGUUGAUUUCGGGUGAUAAAGGUUAAAUACAAUUAAAUCGGUAAGUGUUCAACGAAAAACACAAUAGCUCAGUGGUUGCGAGCUCCAUGCGCACGCGCGCGCCCCCAGGGUUCGAAUCCUUUUAUACCAGUUGUAACUGGUACAACUAGGGAAUAUUCGGGUACAACUAAGUUGUGGUAUAACUAGGAGGUGGUACAACUAGGUUGUGGUACAACUAGGUGGUACAACUAGGAGGAGGUACAACUAAGGUCUGGUACAACUAAGGUAUGAUACAACUAGGAGGAGGUACAACUAAGGUCUGGUACAACUAGGAGGUGGUACAACUAGGUGGUGGUACAACUAGGUGGUACAACUAGGAGGAGGUACAACUAAGGUCUGGUACAACUAGGAGGUGGUACAACUAGGAUACCUAGUAAAGGGGUAGUUUCGUCCUUUCAUUAAAAGGAGGAGAGUAUGUGGAUUAGAGGAGAGUAUGUAGAUUAAUUUUUUGACUCUGAGGAGCAAUUGAGAUUAGUCUCCUAAGGAAGGACAAUAUAUGACAAAGAACAUCGUCUCGUAGAUUGCUUAAGAGAUCCAUCUUGUGUGCACGAACGAAGAGAGUAUACUACCAAACAGAGAAAGGUUUGGUCAGAAGGAAACAAUUAUAACUGGUAAAACAAUAUUUGAUUUUGGACAUGAAAUUUAACAGAGAGAAACCCUAAGUAAAUGUAAACCCUAAGUUAAGAAAGCAAAUAGGAAUCUAUGCAAAAUGAAACUUAUGAACUACGAAACCCUAAAAAGAGAAUUGAGUAAACUUCGAUACUUACCAAACCCAAAUUAUAGGUCAGAGAGUUGGUAGUUGCUUAAUCGCUAGUUCCUUUGGCUCUACAAAGCAAAGGCAUCGAAGAAGCCGAAACAUGAAAAUUUUAAGCAAACAAAAUUUAGGGUUUUAUUUUAUCCGGUUUAAUUUCGGUUAAACCGGGACAGCUUGAGUUUUAGGCUGCAAAACUAUUGCUUAAAAAAACUUUAGAACUAAACAGAGAAGGAAGCAAACUUUACGCAGGUAAAACAAAGAGCAAGAUUUUGUUCCUUGAAAAAGACAUCAUAACUUGGUAACUCGUUGUAGUGUAUCAUUAGCCCCGAGACAUGGUCAAACAUUCCAGGGAUUAUUUUCUUCAGCAUAUGUAUCUCCAUCUCCUUCAAACAUGGAAUGAGUACAGGAGAUACUUUAUCAUCUUUAACUCUAGAAAUGUUCCUCGAAAUUUGUUGUUCAAGUAUUUUCAUUGUUUCCAAGUGUGGGAAGUUCUUUCACAUUCUUAGCAUUGCUAGCCAUCAUAAAGAAAGCACCUGAAACUAGACAUUACCUAGUUGCAGGCCCGGCGCGCAGGACAGGCUACCCAAGCCACUGCUUGGGGUCCCACAAUUUUUUUUUUUUUUUUUUUUUUUUAAAGUAUUUUUUGGUUAUUUAGGCCCAUUUUAAAAUUUUACUUAGUUAAAUUAGUGAUAUUGAGGCCCAUUUUUUUGGAUAUUUUUUAAAAACAAUAAUAAAAAUUAACAUAUAUAAAAACAAAUCAUAUGUUAAAUAUUGUUAAUAAAUAUCAGGGCCUCAUUUUAUAUUUCAUUUUAUAUAUGUUUCCAAAGCAAGGGUUGCUUUUUUCUUUUGGUCUAUGAAAGCAAGGAACUCUUUUAUGUUCGAUGUUGUAUUGCAUCCAUUGAUUUUGCGCUAGGAUACAACAAUACGCUAAAUUAGAUCACUCAACAGUGAGUCACCUUUUAAAUCUAUACGCUAUGAGAUGAUUGCGGUUAAUACAUCAAUGUAGAACAACUCAAAGCAAAUUGCUGGGGAAGUAAAGAUUAUGAUCAAGCGAUCAUAUAUGACUGAAAACAUCUCGAUAACUUGUUGUAGUGUUCCACCAUCUCUGCAAUAACUACAGGGACCACUCUGAACUGUGUAGGACGACCAUUCUUUUUCAUAUAGAAGAUUUUCAUCUCCUUCAAAACACGGAAAAUAAUCCAUGAAAUGCUUUAUCAUGUGCAUCUCUUUCAUUGUUCCUUGAAACUCUUUAAUCUCUAAAACUUUUACAGGACAAGAUUUGAGUGAACGACCUUUCUCCUCCCGAGAGACGCAGUCACAAGCAUCCCCACAUUUAUCAGUGACAUGGUGCAAGAGACCCUGAAAGCAUAAAUGAGACAAUAAGACAUUCAAAGUAUGAAUUCUAUCUUUGUACAUUUUUGGAAAAUAAGUUUUUAAAAAAAAAUUCCUUAGAAGAACUGGUGGUAGUGCUUGCAAUCCUCGCCUCUCGUAACUCUCAAUAGUUAAAGAUUUGAGGUUGUGAUUGAGAGCAUAGGGAAAGCACCUGAAAACAUCAUCGUCCUGUAUCCAAUCAUUAUUUGGCGCUCUUACCCGCUUUAUUUCGUAUUCAGUUACCAAAAACCAGAGUUGAGCCUCAAAUAAUCAAGAUGAUCCUUCGGAUACAAGAAAAGAGAACGAAAAGUUCAGUCCUUAGAACUAUGGUUACCACAGUCAACGAGGUAAUAACUCUUUUCCUAAACCGUUAUAUCCUUAGACACAAGACCAUGUUUUCAGAAACCAACACUCUGUUUUAAAUCCUUGUGCAGGUUGAUAAGAAUCAAUACUGAAUAACACAAUCAAGCACUUGCAAGAACUGGAGGCAAGAGUAGAAGAGCUAGAAUCAUGUAUGGGAUCAGUUAACUUCGUAGAAAGACAAAGGAAGACGACAGAGAACCUUAACGACUCUGUGUAGACAUCAGGAAACUACGAUGAUAGCACGAAGAUCGAUGGUAAUUCAGGAGAGUCCGAACAAGUCACUGUUUUCAGAGAUAAGACACAUUUGAGAGUUAAACUCAAAGAAACAGAAGUUGUGAUCGAAGUAAGAUGUACUUACAGAGACUACAUAGUUGCAGACAUCAUGGAAACUCUGAGAAAUCUUCACAUGGAUGCUUUCUCUGUUAGAUCUCACACACUUAAUAAGUUCCUCACAUUGAAUCUCAAGGCAAAGGUAAAUUAAUCCUGAAAGACCAAUCUUCUUGAUGUUUGGAAAAGACAGCUUUGUGUUUUCUUGACUUACACGUAACUUUUUUGGGUUUAUGCAUGCAGUUUCGUGGGGCUGCAGUUGCGUCCGUAUGAAUGAUCAAGCGAGAGCUGAGAAGAGUCAUUGGUGAUUUGUUUUAAUGUUCUUCAUAGUAGAAAUCUUGUUGAUCUUAAACUUUUGAUGAAAUGUUAUAUUUAUUUAGACUUUCUUGAACCUAUAUGCAAUGUGCCAUUAACUUUACAUCAAGUUUUCCGGGUUUUUGUAUGUAAAGUUGGCCAAGAUUUGGUUGGAAUUUUCGACAUUGUUGUCUCUUUCUCUUCUAAAAACCAAGAUCUAUACUUAUAGAAGUUCCUGAUUAGUAAUAUUUUCCGACUUGAUCAGGUAAAUUCAUAUCGAUUGUCAUCAGAAUUUUUUGUCCGAUCAUAAAUUAAAAAAGUUGCUAUUGAAAAACCUCAAUAUACAUGGGCGAUUUAUCUUUCAUUUGAUUGUUUUGAGCUAUUAUAUGAUUCAUAUAGAUAGCAUAAAAAAAACCAAUUGGCUUUGGCUCAAGUUCUUUCCCGUGAAGAGGAUGGACCAUACACAUAUCCUAUUAUAAUGUUAGUGUACCCUAUUGGGUCAAGGAUUAUGAUCCCACGGGAAAGCUAAAGAUUUUAUCCACCUCAAAGCCAAUUGGUUACUAGUGCUUGUUUUAAGCUUUCUUAUAUACUAGCUUAAAUUUUCAUAUGUUUCCGAUGUGGGACUUGUUAGAGUUACUAAUGCAAUUUUUCUGUCGACAUUAACAUAAUAAGGUUCUACCUUAAACAUCAAGUAAUUGACUUGGUCCUCGUAGGCUUUUUAUGUUCAGUGGGCUUUUGGGCCGAAGCAAACCCGUCUGAUAAAAGAAGCUAACUCCCGCCGAAAACCCUAAACUUGUCACGUAGCGUUUCUACCGAAACUUCUCCGUUUGAAUUUCUCUCAUUUUGUUGGAGCAAAUCGACAGAUCUUGAAGAUUAUAUGUUUUGUUUUGACAUUGAAUAUGUGAAGAUACGAAGAUAUUUACAACGAAGGACUGGUCUUUCAAUGAUGCAGGCGGCAAUUUCGUCAAUGAGCAAUAUCAAGUAAAACAUUUUUUGAAUUUUUCAAUACUUUCUCUGUUUUAACUUUUUUUUUUUCUAUUCGUUCAGAUUCUCUCACUUGUGUGUAUGAUAUUCAGAAUCCUUUGUUAAGUACUGAAUAAUCAUCCACGGGAUAAUCAAAGUAUUAGAGCCUCAAAUAAGAUUUUAUGGUACAAACAGAGAAAGUUUUGGUUUUUAAGUUUUGUUAAGUUUUGCGAUAGUAAGCCGCCUAAGUUAGGCUUCUUCUGUACCUUUUUUCAUUUGGCUUCAAUGAAGAACAAAUAAAAAAAAAUUGAUGGCGAUCAAUAGUAAAUGACUGUAAACAUUCGAAAAAGAAGAAGACGAAAAGAAACUACAGCUUCCCAAUUGGUUUAGUUUGAAACAGUUUCAAGGAGGCUUUGGCAUAAAUAUGAGCAGCUUUUGUUCCUGAGAGACUUCAUUGUGCAGUCCACUUCUUAUACAAGUAACCACCCACUAGGAGCUGGACAUUGCAACCGGAUGAUUUUUCAUAGUGCUCCAUCAUUUCCGCGAUAACUUCAAACACUUCAAGGACUCUGAACUGUGUAGGAUCAUUCUCUUCCAUGUAGAUUUUUAUGUCCUUCAAACACGGAAAAUAGUUCAAUAAAUGCUUUAUGAUGUGCAUCUAUUUCAUUGUUCCUUGAAACUCUUUAAUCUCUAACACUUUUACUGGACAAGAUGUGAGUGAACGACCUUUGUCUUCUCAGGUAACACAGUCACAAGCAUCCCCGCAUUUAUCUGUGACAUGGUGCAAGAGACCCUGAAAGCAUAAAAGAGAGAAUAAUGUAUUCAAUUCAAAGUAAGAACUCUAUGCGUUUACACGGUUUGGCAAAUGACUUGUUACUACACCUCAAGGACUAGAGUUUCAAGAUGUGGACAGUUCCUUAGAAGAACUGGCAUUGCUUGCCAUCCUCGACUCUCGUCACUCUUGAUAGAUAAAGAUUUGAGGUUAUGGAACACUGGCAUCGAUUCACAACACAUAGAAAGUACCUGAAAACAAGACAAACCACAAUUAGACAUUUUGCCAUUACAUGUCUCAAAACAAGACCUUCGCUAGUUCGCUAAAAAUGGGACUAAAAAUAAACACGACCGUCCUGGAUUUCCUUAUUUUUAUUUCCUCGAGACCAAUUGAGUAAGGAUAUUACAAGAAAGAGAAGAAAAAGAAAACUGACCUCGAGAGUAUUCGGAGACAAGUUAAGAUACUGAACAUUUCGUAUGCCUUUCAUGAGCUUCCCCACAUUAUCUAAUCGGAGAACAACAUUGUCAUCCUCAUCAUCAUCCUCCACCCAAUCGAUAUUUGGUGCUCUUAUUCGCUUGAUUUGAACUUCAGUAAGCAAAAGGCUGAUUCUAGCCUCAAAUAAGUUUUCCAUUUUAACAACGGGGUAGUCUUUAGCAACAUAACCAGAGUAACAGAAGUAAACAAGACUAGGUGUAUCAAGCGAAAGAGUGCCUAAAUAAUAGUUGUAAUUUAUUGUUAGGGUCUUGAGGCUUGGAUUUGACACGCCGACAUCCCUAUAUAUCCAGCUAACAGCAAACAAGACUAAUUCCUCAAGCACAGGCAAAACACAAAAAAAAAACUUAUCAACACAUAACCUAUCUGAGUGUAGAACGAGAGUAUUAAGCAUUGGUAAGAAUAUGUCCCCAGCCAACCAAUCAAUAAUACCAACACUGUUUAAUUUCAGCGUAACCAUAUUCCUGCUCUUGAAACAUUUUGAAGACGGCCUAAAGAAAGAUGCUCCAUACAAAAUGAUUAGCACAUCAAGUUCGGAAACACCACGAGCCAAUACGUUACUUAUCCAACCAUCCGCUCGGGGUGAAUCAAAGCCAGUUCACUUGAAUAUCGACCCUAUCCUCCUUACCCUCUUCGGGGUGGAGAAAGACAGAGUCAUUAAAAUCGAGAUCAUAACGAAGAGAUAGAAACUUUGAAGUAAGAAACCCCAAAAAGGAAAGAAACUGAGCACAUGAAAAUUAAAUAUCACGUGGUGAGAGAAGCACAAUCAGACAGAGUAAUCAAUCUACUUCACUGUUCAAGUGAAUGAAGAACAAAGAGCCGAUAUACUUACCAAAGCUCUCGGAACGGCACACUUUGAGAGGUUGAUAGAAAAGCUUAGAAUUAAUGAGUACAAGCUUAAAGGAAGUGUUGGAGUAAGCUUGUCUCCAACAAUUAAGAACGAAGAAGAAGAUUCAAAAAUUAGAGAUUGAAAUGAGUUUCACGAUACCUGCAACAAUGAAGAAGGUAAAGUCAAAUAAACAUGUGAGUAGCACAUGUCUAUGAAGAGAAGAAGUAUCCACAAGAGAAUCAAUCACAAAAAUCACAAAGAAAAGAUGCAGCAGUCAAAUACAACACAAAUUAUCUCUGUGUUUGAUGAUAAAAGUUUUAGUCUUUGGGUUAAGAGAAUGAGAGCAAUAUUAAAGUCUAGAUCUCUGACUCUAUGGACUAUUGUUUUACAGGGAAACCCUAAACCACCAGAAACUAAAACAAAGCCGACAGAGGAAUAACUAAUUGCGAUAAAAGAAUGGAAAGAGUUGGAGAUUAAAAACCAGCUUAUUCAAACUAGAAUAGAAGACGGACUAGUGUUUACGAAGUUGACUAGUGCACGUUAACAUAAGAAGCUUUUCCGGUUUACCAAAUAUGAAUCGGUAACUUUAAUAAACUGGAUAAAAUGAAUCCAAACUUGUAGUAUAUAGUAUUUCCUAUGUUUCAUUUUAAGUGAUGUUUAAGGUUGUUGCACACAUAUUAAAAAAUCACAAAAAUCUCUUUUUUUUUUUUUUUAAAAUAUCAUUAAAAUUUAAAUGUAUUUAAGUUUUACAUAGAAAAUUGAAAACAUCGCUUAUAAUUAAAAUGAUAUGUAGGGAAUAGUAAAAAAGUUUGUUUUCUACCUUAGUUAAGCUUAAUUUAGGCUUCUGUUCUACAAUACUACCUUAGUAACAUUUGCUACUUCUAAUAAACAAGCCAACAUAGAACUAAGAGAAAAUUGCUAGCGAAUAAAAAAUAAAGAAGACAAGCGAUCAAAUAGUAAAUGACUCGAAACAUUGGACAAAUAAGAAGAAAAAACAACAUUUUUGCAAUUGGUUUAAGUUGCGAUGGUUAGGUUUGAUAUGUUUUCAAGCCAAUGAAAUAAAAAUAAAAUUAAACCAAAUUCAAAUUCCAAGGGGAAAACUAUGAGCAACUUUUGUUCUUCAAAGACUUCAUUGUACACUCCACUCCUUAUACAAUUAACCACUUACCAGGAGCUGCACAUUGCAAUUCGAUAACUUGUUGUAGAGUUCCAUCCUCUCCGCGAUAACUUUAGACACUUCAGGUGUAAUACUAUUCUCAUCAAUAUAUAUUUUUAUCUCCUUCAAACGCGGAAAAUAGUCCAAGAAAUGCUUUAUCAUGUGCAUUUCUUUCAUUGUUCCUUGAAACCUUUUAAUCUCUAAAACUUUUACUGGACAAGAAGUGAGUGAACGACCCUUUUCCUCUCGAGUAACGCAGUCACAAGCAUCCCCGCAUUUAUCUGUGACAUAGUGCAAGAGACCCUGAAAGCAUAAAGAAGACAAUAAGAGAUUCAAAAAAAGCAUGAACUCUAUGUGUGUACACGUUUGGCAAAUGAUUUGUUUCUAUACCUCAAGGACUAGAGUUUCUAAAUGCGGAGAAUUCCUUAGAAGAACUGGCAUUGCUUGCCAUCCUCGACUCUCUUCACUCUUAAUAGAUAGAGAUUUGAGUUUUUUGAACACUGGCAUUGACUCACAGCAUAGAGAAAGCACCUGAUAACAAAACAAACCACAAAUAGACAUUUUGCCAUUACAUGUCUCAAAACAAGACCUUCGCUAGUUCGAUAAAAAUGGAACUAAAUAAACAUAACCCUCCUGGAUUUCCUUUUUUUAUUUCCUCGAGACCAAUUGAAUAAGACACACCACAAUUAGACAUUUUGCCAUAGAUGUUUUAAAACAAGACCUUCCCUACUUCAUUAAAAGUGACCGUCAUGCUCGAGAUAUUGAGACGAAGAAGAUAUUACAAGAGAAUAAAAAAGAGAAAACUGACCUCGAGAGUAUUAGCAGACAAGUCUAUAUACUGAACAUUUCGUAUGCCAUUCAUGAGCUUCCCCACAUUUCCAAAUCGGAGAACAACAUCGUCCUCACCAUCCUCCACCCCAUCGUUAUUUGGCUCUCUCGCUCGUUCGAUUUGAUCCUCAGUUACCAAAAGGCUGAUCCUAGCCUCAAGUAAGUUUUCCAUUUUAACUAAGGGGUAGUCUUUAGCAACAUAGUCAGAGUAACUGAAGUAACCCAGACUAGGUGUAUCAAAUGAAAGAAUGCCCGUGAAAUGGUUGGAAUUCAUUGUCAGGGUCUUGAGGCUUGCAUUUGACACGGUGACAUCCUUACUACUGUAGUACCCGAAUACAUCAACCAGGACUAAAUUCUCAAGUACAGCGAAAGCACUAAGAAAAGACUUAUAAUCAACAAAAAACCUAGCUGACUCAAGGACGAGAGUUUUAAGCAUUGGUAAUAAUUCGCUCUCGAUUUGGCAACCAAUAUAUGCAUUGUGUAAUUUCAGCUUAACUAGAUUCUUGCUCUCGAAACGUAUUGUAGACAUGAGAAUGUAUUCUUCCACACUGAAACUGAUUGACAGAUCAAGUUCGGAAACACCACGCACCAACACAUUACUUAUCCAAUCAUCCAGUCUUUCUGCAUCAAGCAUACCUAGACACUUGAGGGAGACUUUCUUAAUGGGAGAAUUACCUUGCAAUGCCAAUAUUCUAUCCACAAAUUCAACGAAGCUCUGUCGAAUUUCGUUCCGAUCCCGCUUACCCUCUUCGGGAUGCAAAAAGACAGAGUCAUCAAUGUGAAGAUUAGAGACAAAUGCAAGCAGAUUGCGCCAUCUCUUGGAGAGAACCGAUGUUACAGCAGCCUCCUUUGUGGUAAGGAAGGACAAUGUAUGACAAAGAACCUCGUCUGGUAGUUUGCUUAAGAGAUCCAUUUUCUCUGCAUGAACGAAGAGACCAAGCAAAGAAGGAAACACGUUAAGCAAUUGAUUUCGAACCCUAAGUUAACAGAGAGAAACCCAAAGUCAAUGUAAACCCUAAGUUAACAACGCAAAUAGGAAUCUAUCCUAAAGGAAACUUGUGAACUACGAGACCUAAAAAGAGAAUUGUGUAAACGUCGAUACUUACCAAGACCCCAAUUCGUUUCAUUGGGGAGAUAGAAUCUAUCACAAAGCCCCUUCUCCGUCCGAAAGAACGUUGCUAUCUGUCGUUAGAAGCUAAUAUCUUAGGUCAGAAAGAAGAGAGAUUAGGAGUUGUUUAAUCGCUGGUUUCUUUGGAUCUACAAAGAGAAAUGAAGAAAAGUGAUCGGAGAAGCCGAAACAUUGUAAGCAAACAAAAUUUAGGAUUUUAUUUAAUAUAUAGAUAUAGAUACGGUUCUUAAAAAUCACUGGUUUGAUUCGGUUCAACCGGUACAGCUUUAUAAUUAAACAUAGAAGUAAAUCAAACUUUUUCAUCUUUUUCUUAAAUGGGAGGACUUUAAAAGGUAAGUUGUUCUUUAUCAUCUUUUUCACGAAAUGUUUUAUCAUCUUUAACUCUAGAAAUGUGUUAAUUCAAGUAUUUUUCAUGGCAGCAACAUCUCGAGCUGGAGUUUAAUCACUCCUCUUCUACUUGACUCCUCUCAGCCAUACCUCCACGUCUUCACAUUAAGGUAUGUAUUCCAAGCAUCGAUUCAUAGUUUAUGGAGAGAACGCAACAGUAGGCGGCAUGGUGAGACUACUAUCCCGGCUUGGGAACUUGCAAAAAUCAUUGACAAAAAUGUUUAAAACAUAUUUAGGACUAUCCAACAGUUGGGGAACUCAACAGUUCAAAACUGGUCGGUGGUCUGCAGUUUUGGUUUCAUACCGCUUCGAACAAUAUCUAAUUAUGUUUAAUUUUUUUUCAAGAUUCUCAAAACAACAGUUGCAUUUAUUGUAAUGAAUAUAAAUUUUACAUUCAUGCAAAAAAAAGAGAAUGAGUAAACCUACAUUGAUUACAAAAGCUUACAAAUUUUAGGGAUUUCGAGGGAGGGAGGGAGGGAGGGAGGGAGGGAGGGAGGGAGAGUUGGGUUUCUAUGUCUUUCAGGUUUGACAAGAAGGCGUCGGAGAAGGUGGAAGACGAUGACAGCAAGCAAACAAAAUUGAAGGUUUAAGAUUAAUUUCGUUGACCGGAACACCUUAAGUUUUUUUGGCCUACGAAAGUAUUGUUUAUAGUUAUAGAGAAGAGAAGUCAGAGAACCAAAGCAAAGUUGACCAAAGAAGAGCAUAAUAUGUAACUUAAUUUUAGCUUCUCAACAAAAACUAUGAGUAAGUUUUCUUCUUGUAAGACUAUCCAGCAGGGCCGGUCCUAGCAUAUUAGAGGCCUAAAGCAUAUUUUCAUAUGUGGAAAAUGGAAAAAAAAAGAGUGAUAUGGUCAUUUGGAGGUUCAAACUCACGGUCUAAGACGAGUCCAAAGACUACGUAACCAUCUUAGCUGACGAAAAAGGUUUGUAAUGUAGCCCAUAUUUUUAGAAUAUAAUAUGUGGCCUAAAGCACAUGCUUCACUUGCUUUAUGGACGGGUCGGGCCUGCUAUCCAGUGUGCACUAACUAUCCACUGCACAUCUUAAACAUCAAAACUAUGAAACAAGAGUCCAAGACCAACACUUUCAGCUCUCAGGGGCAGAAAAAAUGUAAAUGUCACUUCAAAGGCAAAGAUUGAAGCUAGGGGCUUCAAUGAAUGCAAAUGACUCUAUUUUUUUCCAGUGUAAUGAGUGAGACAUGUAAAUGCUUUGGAGAAGAAGCUGAAACAUUCAAAAUUGAUAUUUUAUUGGCGAAAUAUUAAAAUUUAAGACAAACAGUAAGUAAUUCGGUUUGGUAUUGGUUUUAAUUUUAUUGGCCGAUAGCAAAAGAUGGACGGUAUCACAAUAAACUUUCAUUAGCAUUUUAACUAACAUAUUCAAUGAAGUCGGCUCUUGCUUUCACAAAAUAUUUAAUGAAGUCCCAUUAUUAAAGACCAAAUAAUUGCUGGGGAAGUAAAAGAUGUUUUCAAGCCAAAUAAACAAAAUAAAACCAAUGUCAAAGUCCAAGGAAACGUUGGCAACACUAUGAGCGGCUUUCGUUCUUCAAUGUGCAGUCCACUUCUUAUACAAGCAACCAUUCAAUAGGAGCUGGAUAUUGCAACUCGAUGACUUGCUGUCGAGUUCCAUCUUCUCCGCCAUGACUUCAGAAACUUCAGUGACUUUGAGUUGUGUAGGAUCCUUCUCUUCCAUAUAUAUCUUUACCUCUUUCAAACAUGGAAAAUAGUCUAAGAAAUGCUUUAUUAUAUUCAUCACUUUCAUUGUUCCUUGAAACCCUUUAAUCUCAAACACUUUUACUGGGCAAGAUGUGAGUGAACGACCUUUGCCCUUUCGAGAAACGCAGUCACAAGCAUCCCCGCAUUUAUCUGUGACAUGGUGAAAGAGACCCUGAAAAGAUAAAAGGAAACAAUAGAGAUUCAAUAUAUGAACUCUGUCUCUGAACAUGUUUGGCAGAUUAAUGAGUUGUUUCUAUAUAUACCUCAAGAACUAGAGUUUCUAGAUGCGGAGAAUUCCUUAGAAGAACUGGCAUUGCUUGCCAUCCUCGGCUCUCUUCACUCUUUAUAGUUAACGAUUUGAGGUUUUUGAACACUGGCAUCGAUUCACAGCAUACAGAAAGCACCUGAUAACAAGACAAACCAUAAUUAGACCUUUGCUUAUUUGGUAAAAAUGGGACCGAAAAAACAUGACCGUCGCUCCAUGAGUUGAGCCGGAGAAGAUAUUACAAGAAAGAAAAGAAGAAAACUGACCUCUAGAGUGUUAGCAGACAAGUCUAGAUACUGAACAUUUCGUAUGCCAUUCAUGAGCUUCCCCACAUUUCCAAAUCGGAGAACAACAUCAUCCUCUAACAAAUAAUUGUUUCGCGCUCUUGCUUCUUCGCUUACCAAAAGGCUAAUUCGAGCCUCAAACAAGUUUUCCAUUUUAGCUACGGGAUAAUCUUCCGCGACAAAAUCAGAGUAACAUAAGUAAACAAGACUAGGUGAAUCAAAUGAUAAAGAAUCUAAACAACCGCUGCGAUUUAUUGUAAUGGUCUUGAGGCUUGCACUUGAUACAGUCACAGUCACAUUCCAUACUUUCCAGUCUAUAUCAUCCAGGACUAAUUCCUCAAGCGAAGGCAAAGCAUGAAGAAGAAUCUCAAACUUAUCAACAGAUAACAAAACUGAAUCAAGAACGAGAGUUUUAAGGAUCGGUAAGAAAAUGCUCUCAUCCAACAAACAAAUAUCAAUUCCAUAUCUUAAUUCCAGCUUAACUAGUUUCUUGUUCUCAAAAAAUUUUGGAGACAGAUGAUAGUUAUCUCCUGAUCGCGGAUCCAAAAAGACCGAUAGAUAAAUCUCCGAAACACCACGCACCAUCACAUUCUCUAUCCAACAAUCCACUCGCUCUGAAUCAACACCGGAACAAUCGAGGGAGAAUUUCUCAAUGGGAGAGUUACCCUGCAAUGCCAAUACUCUAUCAACAAAAUCCAUGAAGAGCUGUUGAAUUUUGUCCUGUUUCUCUUUACCCUUUCCGGGUAAAUAAAAAAAAUUGUCCUCAAUAUCAAGAUUAGGGACAAAUGCAAUCAAAUUGCGCCACCUCUUUGACAGAACCGAUGUCAAGGCCGCCUCCUUUGUGUUAAGGAAGGACAAUAUAUGACAAAGAACAUCGUCUGGUAGAUUGCUUAAGAGAUCCAUUUUCUAUGCAAGAAACGAAGAGAGUAUAUUACCAAACAGAGUAGAUUGGUUUGAUCUUUCGAGUGCAAAUAAACCCGUUAAACUGGUAAAAUAGGAAUCUUAUAGAUUCGAACAUGAACUUUCAUAGAUGGAAACUAAUGAAACCCCCGAAAAAACGCAAAUAUGAAUCUUAUGGACAAAGUAACCCCCGAAAAAAGUAAUGAGUAAAACCUCGAAACCUACCUUGUUACAAAAGCUUAAUCCAAAACCUAAUUUUUAGGGCUUUCAGUCAAAUACAGAGUUGGGAUUUACUUAAUCCCUUGGUUUCGAUGGCUCUACAAGCGGAGAUACGAAGAAAAGACUAAAGCUUUCAGGUUCGACAAGACAUGCAAAGGCAUCGGAGAAGCUGAAACAUCCAAUUUUUAAGUGGAAGACAGCAAGCAAACAAAAUUUAGGGUUUUUAUUUCAUCCGGUUCUUUAAAAUCACCGGUUUAAUUUUCGUAAACCGGAACGGCUUGAUCUUUGUUCUACACUAGGAUUUAACCCGCGGUACACCGCGGGGCAAAAUUGUAUUUAUGUAUUUUAUAUAAUAAUUUAUAAUUUUUUAGAUUUUUAAAUUGAUAUUAUAAAGAAAAUUCUCAUUUAAUUAUUUUAUAUUAUAAUUAAUAUAGUUGAAUAUGUGUAUUUAAAAGAUUUAUACGUGUAAAAAUGAUAGUGUUAAUAUUGGCAAGCAUUUAUAAUCAUUGACUAUUAUAAUAAUUUGAUAUUAUUUUGUAUCAAAAAAUUUACCCCACGGUAUAUUGCGGGUCGAUUUAUUUAAACUAAAAAUUUUAAAAUUUUAAGUUAUAUUUGUUUUGUUAAUAUUGUUUGGUUUGUUUAGUAUUUAAGAUUAUAUAAUUAUAUUUUUAUUUUUAAUUCUAGGUUUCACCCAUGGUAUACUGUCCCGUAUUAAUAUCGACACAAACCCGUCCCACCAUAUAACCCCGUUUUGUAUUCAGAAUCAUUUUGGUCCUUUUUAUAGUAUGACUCUGAACCAUUCUCUAAUUUUUUAAGCAAUGUGGUAAAUUGUACACAUAUUUUUUCUUCAUCGAUUGAGUAAUAUAUGUCCUUUUUUAAAAAUUUGAAUCACAUUAUAUGCAAAAAAAAAUCUAUUAUUUUAUUAAUAAUAUGUAUUUUAUAUAAAUUCAAAAUAAAUUACUAUAAGAUCAUAUAAAGUGAAAGAAAAAUAAUAUAUUAAUGUUUAAAUUAGGUAGAGAUGUUUUAAGAAAAUUAGCAAUUAAUCUAAUUUAGAAAAAAAAUCAAUUUGUUACCAUAUUUGAAAGCUACGGUUUUUAAAAGAUUUUUUUCAAAAAUAUUUUGUAAUAUUAAUUAAUAAAUAAAUAUUUAUGACAAUGACAUUCUCUUGUAAAUAAGUGUCAACUCCUGUAUUUUUUUCAUAUUUGUACUUCGAAAAUAUAUAUAUAUAGAUUGUUAAAACAGAUUUAGGCCCAAAUUUAGAACUAGUGGCCUAAAUUUUAGAAUUAGUAUGGCUUAAAAGUAGGGGUUGACGUACGGGUUCGGAUCGGGUAUUUCGGGUUUAGAGGUAUAGAACCUAUUCGAGUAUUUCUAGAUUUUAGGUUUAGAUUCGGAUUACCCGAAAUUCCUAAAAAACAAAAUUUUUGUAACCAAAUGUAUCCAAAAAACUCGAAAAUACGCAAAAUAUCUAAGAACCAUAAACAUUGUUUGUCCAAAUUUACUCAAAAGUAGGUUAAAUACCAAAAAAUAUCCAAAAUAUCCAAAAAUCUGAAUAUUUUGGACCCUUAGAUUAUUACAAAUAUAAAUAUUAAUAAUAUACUAGGACUUAAACUCCCCACCACCCCCGGCUAUGUCACGGAGUAAAAGAUAUCAAAACGAAGGAUACAAUUUGAUGGUGUAAACUAGCAUUUAUUUUCAGUUGGAACGAUACAAUAUUUCAAGUUUGUUAACUAUAGUGAGUAGUGAUGGAAUUGAUUUGAUUUUUUUUUUAACUAAAACAGAGAAGCAUUAUUUAUAUAGGAGGAAGAGGACGUAUUAGUACCCUUGUUUGAAAAAUCGCUAGGCGCUAGUCGGGUGCUCGGUAUGGGCCUAGCAUAAUCGUAAAAUCGAAUUAAAAUCGGGGAUUAGUUUUAGGGUUAUUUUAAUAUUUUAAAACAUAUUAAUCCAAUAUUAUUUUCAAAAUUGCAGUAAACACAUAAAACUGUAUUUUUGAGAUAAAUUUUUAUGAUUUUUCUUUAAAUUUGAAUAUUAGUUAUUGUAAAACAUCACAAAAUCCCAAUUUAAAUGAUUGAAUAACAAAAGUAAAAAGUUUUUUUAUACUUGCAAUCUAAAAAUAAUUGGGAUAUGUAAAAUUAAGCGGCGAGUAAUCGGAUUAGGCGGAGAGUAAUCGGAUAACUGAUUUCUUUAGGGGAUUAGUCAUUAAUCGAGACAUAUAGGGUGGGUCUAGCAAUUUAGCGGAGAGUAAUCGGGGUAGGCGGGGAUUUUUAGAACAAGGAUUAGUACUACUAUUUCAGUAUCGAAUGAAUAAAAUACGUGAGGAUAACGAAGACCAUGUCUAUGCAAUACGUGGGGUAUGUGCUUAUAAUUUCAUCACUUUUAUUGAGACAUAUUCUUGAUCACUUACGUAAAAUUUCAUUACUUCUACUGAGACACAUUCUUGAUCUUAUGUGUUUAACACAGGUUUUGACAUCUCAAAUCGACUCAACAAAGAAGUCUCUCUGCAGAGACACUUACAAAAACAAAGAGCACAACAAUACAUAGUUGUUGAGGUGUCUCCUGAUACACUUUUUGCAGCUCUUACUAAGAACGAAAUCGAGGUAUGUAUUCUUGUAGAAGUAUUUAUAUUUUUUUCAAGUCAUGUGCGUGCUGAUGACAUAGAGUGAGCUUUUGUUCUGUAAUAACACUGAGCGCUUGAUGAAUUAUUUUUUGAAAAAAAUCUGCUGCUUUACUUUGUGCAAGUAUGGAUUAGGAUCACUGACGCCUUUUUUGCAUGUGCAUUCACGCGUUCUCCUGCGAAAGAGAAAGGUGCAAGAUUUUUGCCGCUCUAUGACAUCGAAAUCUAAGCGACAACUCCUAUUUUUCAUAUAUUUGUACAAAUGUUGAACUACACACAUUUUGGAUAUAUAAGUCCAAACAUGUAUUAUUUUCUCGUUUCCUUGUAAUCAAAAGAAAUAUUCUAUGAUCUAAAUAAUAAGACAAUAAAAAAAAUCUCAAUUUUAUGUGUAUCUUUUGUAAAAAAAUGUCUCUUAUUUAAUAUUUUUAUGCAAUAGUCAUAUUACAAAUUUAAACUCAUCUAUUCCUUGUUCAAAGAUUGACAAGGCUGAGGUGUUGGGUGGUGCUUUUGAACCUAAGGCUGAAUCUGAGGUAUUGGAUGGUGUAGAGGCUGAAAUCUUUGGAAGAAGCUAGAGUUUUUUUUCGAAUUAUACGUUUGAUGUCUUUUAAUCCUUUUCUGUAAUUUGGAAUCCAUUCGACAAUAUCUGGUACAAAGCUGAAACAGAUUUGCAAUUUUUUUUGUUUUAAUUAUGUUUCACGUUUGUUUUAGUUACUGUUGGUAAUCUAUUUCUAUGGGAAUUUUUUUACAAUGAAAUAGCAAUUUUCUUAUAAAAUCUUUUAAAAGUUUUUCAGUUGUGUAACCCAAAAUAGUAAACUGUAAUGAAUGAUCAAGAUUAGAAGUUAGGAUUCGAUUUUAAUGAAAAUGGGUUAUAAGAUCUGCGUCUUUUUGAAUGGGUUACAUUUUAUUUCAUCGUAAAUACUUACAAAACUAAGGGUAUGUCAAUAAACGUACUACUCAAAUAAUAGUAUUAGAUAGGAAACGCAAGUGUGAUUGAGUUUGAAGAAUUUGUUCUCGUUCCUUUAGCAUCUUCCAUCCAUACACUCCCGAACAUGAAAAAUCUGCCUGUACGUAUCUAUAUAUAUACACACUUCAGGAUCAUGAAAAUAUGUGUCUAAUAGAUUAACUAAGGGCUUGUUCUUUAUUUCCAACAAUGCUUGUCCAAGACACCUUCCGGUAAAACAAUGCUGAGACCUUCCGGUAACAGUGUAGUCUAAAUAUCAGUGUUAUGGCAUGAAAUCCACAACCCCCUUGGCCGCUGGAUUGAUGAAUGGAUCACUGACUCUACCAAUGAGAGUAAGACUACUUUUCCUCGAUGAGAGCAGAGUUGUCACACUCUCUGGAAUCUGAACUGAUGUGACCGGGAGAGAACACUAGGAUUUCAAAUUUUCAAAUCACACACAGACGGUAAGUAAAGAUGGCUUAUUAACUUUUGUCGUUCGGAGUAAAGACACCAACAAAGAACAACUCAAACAACUUAAGGGCAAAGUAAAUAAAUGACUGGAAGAAACUACGGCUUUCCGAUUGACUUGGUUUGAAACAGUUUUCAAGCCAAUUAAACAAAAAUCAAAUUCCCAAGGAAACGUUGGCAACACUAUGAGCAACUUUUGUUCUUCAAAGACUUCAUUUUGCAGUCCACUUCUUAUACAAGCCACCACUCAAUAGGAGCUGGAUAUUGCAACUCGAUGACUUGUUGUUGAGUUCCAUCUUCUCCGCGAUAACUUCAGAAACUUCAGUGACUUUGAGUUGUGUAGGAUCAUUCUCUUCCAUAUAGAUCUUUGUCUCUUUCAAACACGGAAAAUAAUCCAAGAAAUGUUUUAUCAUGUGCAUCUCUUUGGUUGUUCCUUGAAACCCUUUAAUCUCUAACACUUUUACUGGACAAGAUAUGAGUGAACGACCUUUGUCCUCCCGAGAAACGCAGUCACAAGCAUCCCCGCAUUUAUCUGUAACAUGGUGCAAGAGACCCUGAAAACAUAAAGGAAGCAAUAGAGAUUCAAUGUAUGAACUCUCUCUUUGAACAUGUUUGGCAUAUGAGUUGUUUUUAUACCUCAAGGACUAGAGUUUCUAAAUGCGGACAGUUCCUUAGAAGAACUGGCAUUGCUUGCCAUCCUCGACUCUCUUCACUCAUAAUAGAUAAAGAUUUGAGGUUUUUAAACACUGGCAUCGAGUCACAGCAUAGAGAAAGCACCUGAAAAUAAGAUAAACCACAAUUAGAUUACGACGUUUGGCCAUUAAAUGUUUCAAAACAAGACAUUCACUUCUUCGUUAAAAAUGGGGCCGAAAAAGAUAUUGCAAGAGACAAAAUAAGAAAACUGACCUCAAGAGUAUUAGCAGACAAGUCCAGAUACUGAACAUUUCGUAUGCCAUUCAUGAGCUUCCACACAUUUGCAAAUCGGAGAACAACAUUGCCAUCAUCAUCAUCGACCAACCAAUCAUUGUUUGGCGCUCUUGCUCGCUCGAUUUGAUCUUCAGUUACCAAAAGGCUGAUCCUAGCCUCAAAUAAGUUUUCCAUCUUAACUACGGGGUAGUCUUUAGCAACAUAGUCAGAGUAAGAGAAGUAAACGAGACUCGGUGUAUCAACCGAAAAAGUGCCUAAAUAAUAAUAAGAAUAGCAAACAUAAUGGUUGGAAGUUAUUGUUAGUGUCUUGAGACUUGCAUCUGACACAGCAGCAUCAUCUAAUCUCCAGGUUAUAUAACCCAUGGCUAAUUCCUCAAGCGCAGGCAAAUCAUGAAGAAGAAUCUCAAACGUAUCAGCAGAUAACCGAACUAAGCUAAGAACAAGAGUUUUAAGCAUCGGUAAGAAAAAGCUCCCAUCUAACCAACCAAUAUCAAUUCCAUAACCUAUCUCUAGCUUAACUAGUUUCUUGCUCUCGAAACAUUUUGGAGGCACCCAAAACUUCUUACCCACUGAUAGAAUAUCUAAAACGAUUGAUAGAUGAAGCUCGGAAACACCACGCACCAUCACAUUACGUAUCCAAGCAUCCACUCUAUCUGAAUCAACACCAACACAAUUGAUGGAGAAUUUCAUAAUGGGAGAAUUACCCUGCAAUGCCAAUACUCUAUCAACAAACUCCAUGAAGAGCUGUCGAAUAUCGUCCCUAUCACAUUUACCCAUUUCCGGAUACAGAAAAACAUUGUCCUCAAUAUCAAGAUUAGGGACAAAAGCAAGCAGAUUUCGCCACCUCUUGGAGAGAACCGAUGUCAAAGCAGCCUCCUUUGUUGUAAGGAAUGACAAAAUAUGGCAAAGAAGCUCGUCUGGUAGAUUUCUUAAGAGAUCCAUCUCCUCUGCACAUUUCUUAAGAGACAAAAUUUCAAAGCUUUUGUGAGGAAUCAGAGACUACAAACAGAGAAAGUUUUCAUUUUUAAACCCUAAGUUAACAACGUAAAUAGCCAAAAGGAAACUUAUGAAACACCCAAAAAGAGAAUCGAGUAAAGUUGGACACCUACCUUGUUUAAUGGCCCUGCAAGCGAAGAUAGGAAGAAAAAGACUCUAGCUUUCUGGUGGUCGAAGAGUGAAGACAGGCAAAGUCAUCGGAGAAGCCGAAACAUCCAAUUUUUUUUAAGAGAAACGAAAUUGAUCCGGUUCUUUUAAAAUUGCCGGUUAAUUUCGGUAUAAACCGGGACAGAUGAGUAUUGGGCUACAAAAAGUAUCCAAAGCCCAGCUUUAGAAGUUAGAACUAGGCGUCGGCCAAAUAAACCGAACCGAAUGUACCGAACCGAAACGAAACAAAAAACAUCGAACCGAAAAUUUGAAAAUAACUGAAUGGAUACUAAAUUUUAUAAUCGAAAUAACCGUAACCGAAUCGGUACCGAACCAAAAUAUUUCGGAUAACCGAAAUACCCGAAAUACAAUUAUAUUUUCAAAAUAAUUAGUUAUUUAUACAUCAAAUAAUCAAAAAUACUUGAAAAAUAUAUAAAAAAUAGUAAAAAUACUCGAAAAUAACCGAAAUAUAUCUAAAAAUAUCCGAAAAUACUCAAAAAUACCCGAAAUAUCCGAAUGGAUACUAAAUUUUAAACCGAAAAAACAGAACCGAACCGAAACCGAACCGAAAUUUCAAAAUAUCCGAAUGGAUACUAAAUUUUGAAACCGAAAUAACCGAAACCGAAUGAACCUAACCGAUGACCGAACGGUUAACCGAAAGCCCAGGCCUAGUUAGAACUCACAGAAGAAAGCAAACUUGAGAAUGUGAACUCACAGGAGUUAGAAACUCUCUUGUUCUCUGUUUCAAGCACUCACAUCUCUCUAUCUCUUUAUUUUGGUUUGCCAAGCACAAAACGUUUAAGACUUCAAGAGAUAAACACUCACAGCUUGAGUAUUGGGCUCAUUCUUCUUGCUUCUUCCUCCUUUGGGAACUUUUUCUUCGCCUAUGCUCUGUUCUUCUUACUUCUGUUUACUUACUUUCUUCUUCCUCUUUGGAGAACUUCUUCUUCUUCUUGAACUUCUUCUUCUUCUUCUCACUGAAGCUUUCUCCUUUGUUGCAGGUUUUAAUCAAGGAUUCAUAAUGCCAACAACUCUACCAAUGAGAGUAAGACUAUUUUCCUUGAUGAGAGCAGCGUUGUCACUCUCUGGGAUCUGAACUGGCGGGACAUUACACACACACGGUAAGUAAGAUAGCUUAUUAACUUUAGUCGUUCGGAGUUAAGAUUUUGGCAAACCAAAAUUAAACAAAAAUCAAACCAAAAUCAAAUUCCAAAGGGACUUUGGCAAAACUUUUGUUCUUGAGACACUUCAUUUUGCAGUCCACUUCUUAUACAAGCAACCACUCAAUAGAAGCUGGACAGUGCAACUCGAUGACUUGUUGUAGUGUUCCAUCAUCUCCGCGAUAACUUCAGACACUUGGGGGACUCUUAAUUGUGUAGAACCAUUCUCUUCAAUAUAAGUAUUUGUCUCCUUCAAAAACGGAAAAUAGUUCAAGAAAUGCUUGAUCAAGUCCAUCUCUUUAAUUGUUCUUUGAAACCGUUUAAUCUCUAACACUUUUACUAGACAAGAUGUGAGUGAAUGACCUUUGUCUUCUCGAAUAACACGAGUCACAAGCUUCCCCGCAUUUAUCUGUGACAUGGUGCAAUAGACCCUAAAAGCAUAAAAGUGACAAUGAGAUAAAUUCAACUCUAUAUUUGUACAUGUUUGGCAAAUUAAUGAAUUUUUUGCCAUAAAUAUGAGCAGCUUUUGUUCUUUAGAGACUACAGUAUCCCGAUUGGUUUAGUUUGAAACAGUUUCAAGUAGACUUUGGCAUAACUAUGAGCAGCUUUUGUUCUUUAGAGACUUCAUUGUGCAGUCCACUUCUUAUACAAGUAACUACCCACUAGGAGCUGGACAUUGCAACUGGAUGAUUUUUUGUAGUGUUCCAUCAUCUCCCCCGUGAUAAAUUCAGACACUUCAGGGACUCUGAGCUGUGUAGUAUCAUUCUCUUCCAUAUAGAUCUUUAUCUCUUUCAAACAUGGAAAAUAGUCUAAGAAAUGCUUUAUUAUGUUCAUCUCUUUCAUUGUUCCUUGAAACCCUUUAAUCUCUAACACUUUUAUUGGGCAAGAUGUGAGUGAACGACCUUUGCCCUCUCGAGAAACGCAGUCACAAGCAUCCCCGCAUUUAUCUGUGACAUAGUGAAAGAGACCCUGAAAACAUAAAGGAAACAAUAGAGAUUCAAUGUACGUAUGAACUCUGUCUCUGAACAUGUUUGCAAGAUUAAUGAGUUGUUUCUAUAUAUACCUCAAGAACUAGAGUUUCUAGAUGCGGAGAAUUCCUUAGAAGAACUGGCAUUGCUUGCCAUCCUCGGCUCUCUUCACUCUUUAUCGCUAACAAUUUGAGGUUUUUGAACACUGGCAUCGAUUGACAGCAUAGAGAAAGCACCUGAUAACAAGACAAACCACAAUUAGACCUUUGCUUCUUUGUUAAAAAUGGGACCGAACAAACAUGACUGCCAUGCUCCAUAAAUUGAGAAGAAGUGCUAGUUUUCUUUCUUUUAUUUCAUCAAUAUCAGCUAAAUAGAGAAAUAAAGAAGAAAACUGACCUCAAGAGUAUCAGGAGACAGAACUAGAUACCGAACAUUUCGAAUGCCAUUCAUAAGCUUCCCCACAUUUGCAAAUCGGAGAACAACAUUGUACUCAUCAUCCUCUAACAAAUCAUUGUAUGGCACUCUUGCUAGGCUGAUAUCUUCAUCAAUUACACAAAGGCUGAUUCUAGCCUCAAACAAGUUUUCCAUUUUAGCUACAGAAUAAUCUCCCACGACAAAAUCAGAGUAAGAGAAGUAAACAAGACUAGGUGUAUCCAAUGAAAAAGUAUCGAAACAUUCGAUGAACUUUAUUGUUAGGGUCUUGAGGCUUGCACUUGAUAGAGAUAUAGACACAGUCAUCACAUCCAAUUCUUUCCAGUGUAUACUAUGCAGGACUAAUUCCUCAAGCGCAGGCAAAGCAUGAAGAAGAAUCUCAAACUUAUCAACAGAUAACAAAACUGAAUCAAGAACGAGAGUUUUAAGCAUCGGUAAGAAAAUGCUCCUAUCGAAGCAACGAAUAUCAAAUCCAUGAGUUAAUUCCAGCUUAACUAGUUUCUUGUUCUCGAAAACUUUUGGACACAGAUGAUAGUUAUCUCCUCCUAAUGGGGAUCCAAAAGGAUUGUUAGAUUAAUCUCCGAAACACCACGCACCAACACAUUCUGUAUCCAACAAUCCACUCGAUCUAAAUAAAAACCGCCAGCACAAAAGAGGGAGAAUUUCUUUAUGUGAGAAUUUCCCUGUAAUACUCUAUCGACAAAAUCCACGAAGAGCUGUCGAAUAUCGUCCCUUUCCUCUUUACGUACCUCCGGAUGCAGAAACUCACAGUCAUAAAUAUCAAGAUUAGGGACGAACGCAAUCAAAUUGCGCCACCUCUUGGAGAGAACCGAUGUUACAGCAGCCUCCUUUGUGGUAAGGAAGGACAAAAUAUGGCAAAGAAGCUCGUCUGGUAGAUUGCUUAAGAGAUCCAUUUUCUCUGCACGAAACGAAGAGAGUAUAUUACCAAACAGAGACACGUUUGAUCUUUCAAUUUAUGUAAAACGUUAACUGGUAAAAUUGGAAUCUUAUGGACUAAGGAACCCCCCGAGUAAAACCUCGAAACCUCGAAACCUACCUUGUUACAAAAGCUUCAUCCAAGACCUAAUCUUUUAGUUUCAGUGAAACAGAGAGUUGGGAUUUGCUUAACCCCUUGGUUUGGUUCGACAAGACAUGUAAAGGCAUCGGAGAAGCCGACAGCAAACAAACAAAAUAUAGGGUUUUGUUUCAUCCGGUUCUAUAAAAUCACCGGUUUAGUUUCGAUAAACCGGAACGGCUUGAUCUUUGGGCUACAUUGCUUAAACAGAUUUAGGCCCAAAUUUUGAAGUAUUGCUUAAAGAGAAGAGAACUCAGAGACCGAGAGCAAAGAAGAGCUAAACUAAUAGCUUCUGAACCAAAACUAUGAGACACAUCAGUGUGCACUAGUCCACUUCUUAAACAUGAAAACUAAGAAACUUGUUGCGACAAGUUUAAACAUACCAGAGACUUUGAGGUCUAUAAAAUCAUUCUCUUUACCAAAGACUCCUUAAAGACUUCACUGUGCAGUCCACUUCCUGUACAAGGAAUCACACACCAUGAAUCGGACAUAACAACUCGAUAACUCAUUGUAGAGUUUCAUUAGCUCCACGAUACGCUCAAACAUUCCAGGGAUUUCAAAGGUUGUCUGAUCAUUCUCUUCGGCAUGUAUCUCCAUCUCCUUCAAACACGGAAACAAGUUUAGGAAAUGCUUUAUCAUCUUUAACUCUCGAGUUGUUCCUAUAAACGCCUUAAUAUGUAAUAUCUUCACCGGACAAGAUAUGAGGGAAUGACCUUUGUCAUCCCGGGAAAUGCAGUCACACGCAUCCCCGCAUUUAUCUGUCACACAGUGUAAGAGACCCUGAAAGCAAAAACCAGACAAAUGUAAAUGUUUGAGACAAUGUGUUGUUCAAGUAUACUUUCAUUGUUUAUCUUCUUACCCAAAGUGCUAGAGUUUCCAAGUGUGGUCAGUUCUUUAAGAUAACUGACAUUGCUUGCCAUCCGAGAUCCACAUGACUCAAAAUAGCUAAGAAUGUUAGGUUGUUGAACACUGGCAUCGCCACACAGCAUAGAGAAAGCAACUGAAACGAGAAAACAUUACUCAGUCGCCAAGAAUCAAGAUUUGUUUAUUUGUCUAUGAAAUCAAAAUAGUAUACUGACCUCAAGAGUAGUAGGAGACAUGAAAAGUUUCUUCACAUUUCGUAUGCCACUCAUGAGCUUCUUCGCAUUACUAAAUCGGAUAAAAACAUCUUCCCAAUCUUCCUCUAACAUUUCAUGAUCUGGUUCUCUUGCUCGCUUGAUCUGAUAUUCAUUUGCUAAAAGGUUGAUUCUAGCAUUAACUACGUUUUCCAAAUUCACUGUUGGAUAGUCCUCCGCGACUAAUUCAGAGUAAUCUAGGAAAACAAGAUUUGGUGUAUCAAAUGAAAACCUUUCAAAACUAAAACUCUCAGACUUAAUUUUUAGAGACUUGAGACUUGCACUAGACACAGUCUGAUCCCAAUCUUCGCACUCAACAUUAACCAUUUCUAAUUUCUUAACCACAGGACAACAACGAAGAAGCAUCAGAAACUGAUCAAAACAAAACUCAACUGAGUCAAGAACGAGAAGUUUAAGCACCGGUAAGAAUACUUCACCAUCCAACCCAUCAACUUUAAUUCCACUCCCCAAUUUCAGCUCAACUAGUGUCGAGCUAAUGAAAACUUGUGGAGACAGCAAAUAAUUAUCUCCAAAACCAGUAACAAGAACAAUAAGAUCAAGCUCCGAGGCACCACGCUGCAGCGCAUUACAUAUCCAACCAUUCACAAGACCUUGAUCAACACCAGUUCCACACUUGAUGGAAACUUUCUCAAUGGGAAAAUUCCCCUGCAACACCAAUACUCUAUCCACAAAAUCAAUGAAGCUCUGUAUAAUUCCGUCUCUUUCUCGCUUACCCUCUUCCGGAUAUAGAAAGAUAAGAGUCAUCAAUGUCAAGAUUAGGGACAAAGGCAAACAGAUUCCGCCACCUCUUUGAGAGAACUGAUGUUAAAGCAGCCUCCUUUGUGGUAAGGAAAGACAAUAUAUGGCAAAGAAGCUCGUCUGGUAGACUGCUUAAGAGAUCCAUCUUCUUUAACUACACAAUGCUCCUACGACAAAUUCGAAUAUCAACCAUUACCAAACCCAGCUAAUAACGCAAAUCUGAAACUCUAAACGAAAAAAAAAUCCAAAAGAGAGUACAGUAGUGAGUAGUCAGUAGAAGCAGAAGAUAUGAGUUAGCUUCGUCGCUUACCUUUGUAGACAGAAGCAAAACCCAAGGCCAACACUUUCAGCUCUUGACGCAGGUAAAAUUUGAAGGGCUUCAAUGGAAGUCAAAAGUCUCGAUUUUUCAAUUCGAUAAGACAAGCAAAUGCAUCGGAGAAGAAGCUGAAACAUCAAAAUUGAUUUUUUUUUAUUUUUCUCGGCGAAACAAAACAUCGAAAUUUUACAGAGACCAAAAGAGAAGGAAACGGAGCGUUUUAUGCUUGACUCUCUACGACACGUGGCACACUCAAACCAGAAAUUUGAUUUGGUUUAAUGAUUGGUUUGGUUUUGGUUUAUAUUCUCUUGAUCUUAAUCAGUUUGGUUUUGACCGAUAGGCAACACAUGUCGCGGUUUCACAAUAAACUUUCAUUAGCAUCUGCAUUUUAAGUGAACCAAUUCAAUUUGAUCAUUCUACAGAUCUUCAUAUAACUAUAACCGUAAAAAACUAUAUUGAAAUAAUAAUCAUCAUGGGUUAAAUUUGUCUACGUUAGACCAAAAAAAAAAAUUUGUAUAAGCUUCAUCAAGAAAAUAAAAGCCGAAAAAUGAAGGUAAAAAGAUUGAAGAACGAGUAAAACCGGACAGAUUUACAUCGUCAAGGACAAGUACAUUCAACAGUACAUCGUUGUUAGUGUGGGGGAGAGAUUAGUGAGCUAUAUGGGAAGAAUUGGAGAAGUAUCAAAGUCAUUAUUACCAAGGAUUCCGUUUGAUGGAUCUUCUGAUUUCAACGAAGAGUCUUUCUUGCUACGUUCGAGAGAUGUUGCCUCGAAUAUUCCAAACCCUAAUACUAAGCAACAGACGAUGAAACCGGGAAGAGAAAAAUCCAUCUCGUAAGCUAACUCCAUGACUAUUAUGCAUGCACCUGCUACCAUUAAAUGCCUUGGCGAAGAAAACACCAUAUGCAAUCUGCGAUAAACAAAACAUAUUCGUAUAAAGCAUAUGUUUGUGUGUGUAAAUGAAAUGUAAAGAUAAUUAAAGGGAAAAGCUUUCGGGAAACCUCUCUUCUGCGAUAUUGUCAACAUAGAAUAUUAGGAUGAUUCCGAAAACAAUGGUGCUAAGGAAAGCCCACGCAGAAAAUGGCAACUCGGAUGUUUUCCCAGAAGAUGACCCCUGAAGUAAUAAUUUUGAUAUUAGCGAACCAAACUGGUAUUAGACAAUCGAGAAGACGCCACCUUUAAUACAUUAUUAUUAGUCGUUGCAAAACAGUAGCAUUACUUACUAUGAUAAGGUCCCACAUAGCCACAGGAAACAAGAAACAGGUUGCAGAAGUAAUGGUUAUCGCAUGUAGUCGUUUCUUCUGCUGGUUCUGUAAAAGAAGAAAAUUGGUUGUUCACAAAGGAAGCAGACAUGUGAGAAGAAAUGACUGGAGGAAAUAGAAGGAAUCUGAGAGCAAUACCUUUAGAGAAACACGGCGCGCGAUAACCCGCCUUAACGCUGAUAAGAUUCCAGCAAAAACUGGUAUCAUCAUUCCCAUCAUACCUAGUGCCUGUUCUGUUUGUACUUCUUCCUCUUUGGUUUCAGUACUAUCUUUUGUUGGUAGCUUGUUGUUAAGUUAAACCAACCAACACAUAAAACGAAGCAUAAUAUACAUAUAGAUAGAGAUAGAGAGAAGGAACUUGCGUAAAAGGAUAUAAAAAGGGGAGAGAGAUGAUGUCGCCCAUCCUUGAGACAAGAAAAAAAGAGCUACCAACAUUGCAAUGAGGCCACCUACCUGACAUUAUUUGCAAAUAUGAGAGAAUUGUAAACAUAAACUUGAUCUUUCAAACUGAACUUCAUAUCAAUAACUGUAAUGCAAGCAAUAUAAGUACAUCAGUACAUGGAUUAGCCAGAAGAAACGUCUCUAAUGCUCAAAACUAUUGAACAGUUCUAUAGUUUGUCUCCGACACAAGGGAGCUGAUGCAUGCCGUAAACAACCUAACACUAUGCUAAACCCUAUGUAAACCGUGCUAGUAAACUGGUUACAUUGAGUAGAACUAUUAAAUUAUAGACAUGUGAGAUGGAUACCUUUUUCCACACAUGACCUCUCCGUCCAUACAAUACUCCAGAAAGUACUCCAAGAACAGCACCAGAGUACUCUGAUAAGAUAGCUCUGCCAAUAAUAUACAAAGAUUUAUUACAAGCAAGGAGAAUCAAAGUUUCAAUGCAGAAAAUUUUUCUGGUCACACGAGCUUAAAAAUGGCAGAUUACAGAACUAAAGGAUAAAGAGCGAAUUGUAAGUCCAGAAUUUCCGUAAGUACUGAACCAAACUGCUAAAGUGGGACCAUCAUGCUCAGAGGUAAACUUUCAAUUUCCCUUUUCAGAAGCCAAAAUCUAGUAUAUAUCCUAAGAAAGAACGACAGAUAAGAACAGAGAAUACUUCGCGGUAGUAUGAAUGCUUAAUGAAUACCUAAGAGGUCCACAAGACUUGAGACCUUUUCCCCAUAAGAUGAAGUAUAGAGCUGUGAUGACUCCAUUGAUAAGAGAAGGUACAAUCUGAAAUAGUAAAGAACCAAUUUAUGUCCAAACUCUCCAAUUUCUAUGUAUCAAAUAUACAUGCCAGAAAUUGGAUAUGACUAAAGUAAACCUGUUGGUUAGAAAGUGCCCUUCCUUUCCAUGGUUUUUGAAGUAUCAAGAAGAUGAUAGAUGAAGGCACCAAACAGCAGAAGAGAAAGAAAACAACAGGCGCUCCCGUCUGAUUCAAGUAUCGGUACAUAGAAUAAACUGACCAUAUCCUAAAAAAGUUCCCAAUAAGGUGGAUUAUCUGGAAAGGAGUAUUCCUGCAAAAUAAAGAGGGUCAAAACACAAAACUUAGGUGGCAGAUUACUCAAUUCUAAGCCAAUGGCUAAACAACGACAAACGAAAAAACACUACAAAUGUGCUCAAAGUUAAUGACUAAAAUCACUGCUUCAACCUAGUAUUGAAUCAUAACAUAGUAAACUAAAUGCUUAAUAUGAGGUCUCAAAUCAGUGAUUCAACUUAACUAUGUUUAUGCAUUAUAAAGAAAACCGAGGAAUGCGAUUUCCAACAACGACGGAUAAUAAAACCCGAAACAAUAACUGCUUCAUCGUAGUAUUGAAUCAAAACACAAUGAACUCAAAGCUUAAGCUAGAGGAAUAUGAGUACUCAAAUCAGUGAUUCAAUCCUAAUUAUGUUACUGCAUUAUCUUCAGAAAUGCGAUUUCCAAUUCAUAUAGACGAUUAAACGAAGCAACAGUACACAUUUCGUUGUAAUUUCAAUGAAACUCCAUCGGAGCAAGAAGAAGAAACAUCGUUUUUUUUUUUUUCUUCUAUGCAAUCAAAAUUAGCAAAAGAAGAAACCACACACAAUAGCAGAGAAGUUUUAAUCGAAACUUUGGGUAUGAAUAUACCUGAAAUGUGAAGAUCCUCGAUCGUCGGAGAUUUGUUUCGGCGACAUCAUUUUUAGCCGGAAAAUUAACUGAUGCUUAAAUCCAGUAUAAAAUUAAAUCCUUCCACGAAAUCAGUUGAAACUCGGAAUCUUAAGAAGAUGUAACUGUAGAAGGAUUUGCGUGAAGCUGUGAUGGAAGAAGAAGUAUCGUCUUCUUCGUCAAGGAACGCUAAGUCCCGAAGCUCUCAAGUCCAGCGAUCUAUUGAGAUCGGAAGAGAGGAGACGUAAUUUUUGUAUUGGGCCUUUCUCAAGCCCAUUAUAAAGUGGCUUGAAUCUAAAGAAAACCAAGGCCUCGAAAUUUUUAGUUCUAGGCUUAGGUACUAAGUGCUACAUUGAAAUUAAUUAAAAUAUAUGUGUUUUUUUAAUAUAAAUUUAAAUCUUAAGUACCAAAAUUUACUAUAGUUUUUACUUUCUACUAAUAUCGGUGCUGUAAUAUUUAAAUUUAAAUUCAGUUGAAAAUGUGUCUUUAGUAAAUUAUUACUUGAUAAAAUUUACCAGUGUCUGUGCCAUAAUAUGUAAAUUAAGGCAGAGUAAAAUAUGUGUGUUAUCACUAAGAAAAAAAAAUUAUGAUAAGAUAUUAUUAAUAAAUAAUAUAUCUUUAAAUUAAUAUAAAAAUAACAUUAUUAUAGUGUCCUAAGUAACUUAUUAACUUUAUAUUGGCUAGUGGCGGCGCCGUAAUAUCUAAAUUUAAAUUAAGCAAAAUUUAUGAGAUUUUUAGCAAUUUUUAUUUUAAUUUUGACUAGUGUCGGCGCCGUAAUGUCCAAACUUAAAUUAAAAUGUGUCUUUAGUAAUUUAUUCUUUGAUAAAAACUGACUAGUGGUGGCGGCGUAAUAUCUUAAUUAUGGAAAGUACAAUAUGUGUAUGAUUAGUUAAAAAAAAAUUAUGUUAAAACAUUAUUAAUGGAUAAUCUUUAAAAUACUACAAAUGUGACCUUUUUAUAAUGUCCCAAGUCAUUUAUUAACUUUUGACUAGUGGCGGCGCCGUACUAUCUAAAUUGAAAUUAAGCAAAAUCUAUGAGUUUUUAGCAAUUUUUAUUCUAAUUAUGCGUAGUGUCGUCGUUGUAAUAUCUAAAUUUAAAUUAAGUUGAAAGAUGUGUCUUUAGUAAUUUACUACUUGAUAAAAUUGACUAGUGUCGGCGCCAUAAUAUCUAAUUAAGACAAAGUAAAAUUUGUAUGUGAUUAGUUAGAAAAAAAACACAAAAUUUAUGGUAAACCAUUAUUAAAGGAUAACAUAUCUUUAAAUUAAACAAAAAUGACAUUUUAUAGUUUAUUUGUCUAAUUGUCUAGUUUAUAUAAAUUGUCUUCUCAUAAUUUUUAGACUAUCUGCUUUUAACCUUUUCAAAUUUAAUUGUCACAAAAAUUUGUAAUUUCUUUACCUUUUAAAUUCUCAUUAAACUGUGUUUUAUUAUUGAAUUUCACUCUUUUUACUUCAAAAUUAAAUAAUAAUUAAAAUUCACAUUUCUUUACUAAGAAAAGUUCAAAAGGUGGAAUACAAAGAAAAAAAUAUUUUGGUAAAAUGAGAGAGACAAACACAAAAAUAGCAUAUAAAAAGCCUUAUAAAUCACACAAUCAUGCACUCACAUCAAAAAUUUCAUCGACUGCUUAAACCAAACUCCAUUGUUUUCAUUUUCCUUUAGAAAUCAAACCAAGGUAUAUCCUUUUCUCCGAUUGUUGGUUGAGUAUUUUUUUCAAAUUAAUUUCAUAUAGAUUUCACUGAUAUGUUGAAAUUCCUGGGCAAUUCUUGUAAGGGGUGACCAAUACGUGCUUUUGUACACAAGGGUAAAGCUAUAUGAGGGGGGUCAAGUGACCCCAUCAAUCUUGUAAAAAAUUAUUUGCAAGUCUUAAUUAAUGGUAUUUGGUUGAUAAUUUGGUUUGAAAUAUUUGACCCUAACCAUGGUUAAUAGAAAAAGAGUGCAGCGCGCUUUUACUCCCCCUCAUGAGUAGAUCACUUGAAUCUUCGAGAUGACACGAUCGGGUAUGAUAAAGUAACUUCUUGAAAGUAGUUGUUAGAAACGCCUUGGUAAAUAAAUUUGUAGGACACGUACAUCACCAUUCCUCUGCAGUUCAUUGGUCUCGUAGGUGGAUCAUCUUGAUCAUUAUCUUCGUUUUUCACGAUCUCAUCAAUGUAUGUCAAAGACUUUGAGUAACAAUAAUCUUUCAUCAUUGGAAUCACAACAUUCCUCUUUAGGUGUCUAUCAUUCACAUGUUCUUUGUUGUCUCGGUAAAACCUUUCAUGGAAAAAUCCAAUGGGAUAAAAACUAUGAUAAGGGAAAAAAGUACAACCACGCAUAUAAUCAUAUUUCUCCCCCUGGAAUCAUCAUCUUCAGAAUAUGCAUUCCAGUCAUAUAUAUACCAUCUUUUCGGGAAUCACUAUAUUCAAAAACUUAGUGAACAAACUGGUAUGAUGGUCAUUAAACCUCUCGGGUCUUUGAACUUGUAGUUCAUAAUAUCUCUUUCAGAUUGAAGAUUAUUUCAUUGUCUACUUAGACUUCAGGUCCAAAUAAUCUUUUGCAUACAAUCUUCUAAACUUUUAUCUUUUACAUAGGAGUUUUGCAUACUCUCCUUGUAAAAACUUACUAAUUUAGCUUUUCUUCUUAUUAUGAUUCUUCGGGACCAAAUACAUGUGAGCAUUUUCCAUGUAAAAUCCUGCAAGGAUCUUUGAAAUAAUCUCUCUUUUACUAGAUGUCCAAUUUGUAAUUCCGAGGAAUUUCAUGAAGACUCGGAUUCAUGUACAAUCUUAUUUCAACAUCUUCCAUAAGAAUGAUUCCAUCUCAAAUUCUUUCAUUAAAUAUUUCACUGUAUAUGAAAUCUCUACAGGAGAUUCGAUAAUAUUUAAAUCAUCAAACGUACUCUAUAUUUAUUCUUGUAGGCUUCUUUAGACAAGUACCAACUAAGGCAAUUAUCAUAUAUAUGCCCCGAUGUUUCAAUUCACAACAAUAUCGAUUUAAUUUCACAUAUAUAGGUAUGUUCUCGAGAACUAUAAUUUGUUGCUUCUGGCAAUAGAAUCCUUCGGGGUAACUUCUAUCUUUCAGGGCUUUUAUGACAUUUUAAGACCUUCUGAAUCAAGUCUUUUUUCACAUUGUCAAACAGAUAAGGGAUUUAUAUAGUUGCAUCCACCAAAUGAGAGUAUAUCUCUUUCUCUUAAUUUCAUGUCUUUGUGAGAAUUAUUUUUACCACUAAACGUGCUUUAUAUCUCAUAAAAAUCCUCUUAUCUCUCACUAAUUUUACACCUUCAAGUGUAAGGACUUCUAGUCCAAAUACUUUCUCUUCAAGAGAUUUUACUAAUUUUCUUUUACUUCUUUUCAUGAUUGGCCAAUCAUCAUUUUAUGUAUACUUUUCAAUAAAUCUUCUUCUAUUAACCGCGCGGUUCAUAAUCCUCAAUAACAUCAUCAUCAACUGCUUUACUGCAUGCAAAAUAUUUUACGACGUCGAUUUGCUUUUUGGUUCCAUUUAUUCUAGACAUGACUCAACUUGUUGAGAUUUCUUCUCAUUAUCAUUCUCAGGUACCUGA